ACGGCCCUAAAAUUGCUCUUUCCCCACGCCCCACCACAGGGCACAGGCCGACCCAACCGCCGCACUCAUCGCCGUUAACACCGCCGCUUCCGCAUCCCCAGAUCCACACCGCCCGGCCAAGGGCCACGGCUCCAUUCCCCAACCACCACGCCGCCGAACCCGUAUCCCCCCAUCCCCCAUCUCCCCGCCACACCCCCAACCGAAUCCACGCCGCCGCGGCCUGCCGCAUCCCCACCCCAUUGACGUAGCAGCCGCGCGCUGGCUGCAAGGACAUCGGCGAUGUAAUUCCUUAAACUGAGAUACAAAGAGGGAGGACAGGGUCGUGGGGCUCCGCCACGUGCCUGGAUCCAGGCACCAGCCAACGCAUCUUGCUCGAUCUGGCUACCGCCGCGCGCGUCCGUGCCAGAUCCGGCCGGCACGGUCGAGGCUGGGUGGAGGAGCAUGGGGCGGUGGCUUGGUUGUUGAGGAGGGGAAGCGAGCACGGGGCGGUGGCUAGGAUGUGGAGGAGGUGAAGCGAACACGGGCCGUUGUGGCUAGGAGGUGAGCUGCUCAUCCUCGAUCUGGAGAAGGGGAAGGCAGAGGUGAGCAGGAUCCCCUCAAUUCUUGACAUGCUUACUAGUUAAUUUUAUAUGACUAGCUUCUGAACCCGAUAUUGCAUUAUGUGCGUCGAGAAACAUACAGUUUUAUAUCCUUAUUUGCAAAUUCGGAAUUGCAUCAUCUGUUCAACAGUGUGCUUAUGAUAUUUUCCAUACGUAUGGCUCAAAAUGUAACAUGCAGUCUAAUUUGCAUAGCCAGUUCAUUUUCUUGGAGCUUAUAGAUCUGUUCCAGUUAGUAAUUCAUUCUAGAUGAUCUCUGUAUUUUGUAGGACCUAUUUUUAAUUCAAUAGAUAGAUAGAUGUUUGUAGACAAGGUCUUCAGGAAUAACAUUUUAGUGUUGAUGUUCAGGUGUAGGUUCACAAGUUGAGGGAAGCUGCAGCCAUAAAUAAUCGAAAAAGUACCACACUUCACAGUUUUUGUGAGAUUCUUGAUCCUAGUUGAAGACUUAAUUUGGUACUUCCAUCGCGUGGCAUCGUUUGACUACAUUCUGAAUACCUCAUAAUUUGUUUCUAUCAUUGCACGGUUGUAUCAUAGGGAGUAAAAUAUAUUGUGGCGUGAUAAUGGAAAUUCUGAAAUUGGACUAUCACCACAACGGAAAUAUUGUGCUCUUUUGAGUGUGAUUGGUUUGACAACCGUGUACACGGCAAGUGGGUAAAAUUUGAUAUAUUUUGAAUCACAAAUAUGAACUCUAAGCAUUUAUUUAACUCUGGUGAGAAGUUGUCUGAUGAACCAUUAUUUCUGACUCCCCAAGCAACUCAAGCUUAUUCUGUCCAAGAUUCCAUUGACAAAGAUUCAUGUAGUGUUGUCCAUUCGAAGCCAGGAAUCCUUUUUGAUAUUCUUGGAAAAGAAAUGAAAACUUUGAGAAGGUUGAUGAACCUGUGAUUCUGUUCCUUGGUUUAGAUGCUAAUGUAAAUCUCCAGCCUGAUGUUCAAGAUGCACCUCGUAUUAGAAAAGAUGUAGAUGGACAAUUGUUUGUCAGGUUAAGAAGGAUAAAUAUGUAGCUUAAAUACCUCUUUUAAUAUUUUGUAAUGUUCCUCUACUUCAGGCUUGCCCUGUGCAUAAGACGCACUAUUGCUAAUUAUGUCUUUUAUAUUUAAGUAUUCCUGCAGAGUGCCUCUUUGUUCUUCUAUUUCAGAUUGCAUAACACUUGUACUAAUUCUGAGAUGAUAUUUCUUUUCAGGAAAAGAAUGGCAAACAGAGGAUAAAGAGAUGAUGCUUCUACAUAUAAAGAUUUGUGAACAGGGAAUGUAACGCUUGUCAUAGAGAGGUUGAAUGACUUCAUUCCAAGUCUUGCAUGAACAAGACAACAAGACAAAGGUGAUGGUCGCCCUUGUGUGUUGAUACAUCUUGUGGAUGCUAGUUUUCUUUAUCUAUAAAGCAGAGCUACGGCCUAAUUUCUUAAACCAUUAAUAAAAGAAAUCAAGAAAUGCUUAUAAACUAUGGAUGUAGCAACAUCAUGACCUUCCUGUAUGCAUCAUGGACCAAUAAAGGAAUUACAUCAUGACCUUCCUGUAUGCAUCAUGACCUUCCUGUAUGCAUCAUGGAUGUAGCUACUCUGUUUCUUAAACAGUUCUGCAGCUACUACUAAAACUUUGCACAGUUUGGACAACACAUCAUGGACUAAUAAAGGGACCACACAAGUACAUAUUCAGUAAACCAACAUUCUUUGAUUUUGAGCAACCUAUAUUCAUUUCAGCAAAUGAUUUAAGUGCCUGCAAACUCUUUUUCUUUUUGUUUGAUCAACAUUUUUUCUGAAACAAGCAGCAGAUUUAAUUAGAGGGCUGUUCAGUUGGUAUACAUUCUCAUGACUAUUGAUUCUCACUAUCUAGCACUAAUACACACUACACGGAACAAACAUGUACAAAAAAAACAGAGGACGCUGUGCAUUGCCACUGGAUUGCUAGUGAUUACUUGCAGUUUUUUAAUGUUCUAUUUACUUCACAGCAAUCAGGAGAAACUAAUACACCAAAAGAUCACUACUGAUAAAUAUUUAUAAUGAUAGGUUGUAUAGUGCAUAAUCUGUUCCUAUGACUACAUGCACACAUUCUGUUUGUGCCUUGUGGAAUGCAAAGUACAGGGCGACGUCGACACACAAGUAUCUUUUUCAUUUGGAUGAGUCGAUUUUCUUUUUCAGCCCGUGCAACUUCUAUGUUUGGAACAUGUGUUCAUCUGAGCUGAUCUAUUUGGUCAUUUCCUUUUUUUUAACAGGUCACCAGUAAUAAUGCCUUUGCAUCCACAAGGUUCUAGAGGUGUGUUUGGUGAGCUAAAAGAGUAUUCUGCUGGUUUCGGUUUUGUCCAUAAUGUAAAACCUUUACUUGUGAACCUACAAAUGUACUUAUGUGUGCAUGUAGACCUGAUGGAUGGUUGUGCUUUUGGCUGUCCUGUAACUAGACUUGUAUGCCCAUUUGUGCAUCCAGGCAUGCGUGAUUGAUCUUUGUGCUUUUGGCUGUCCUGCAAUACUGGACUUAUGAACCUAUGUAUGGAUGAUGGAGACUUGUGAACCUAUGUAUGGAUGAUGGAUUGCUUAUAUACACACACACACACACACAUUAUCUCUUAAGUGAUGCAAUCUUAAUUACUGUACGCAUGUGUUGUGUUAUAUAUAGAUGGCACAAAAUGGAGUGAAGAUAGAUGAUAGCUUUUGAAAUACAUGUAUACAUAUAGGAGAUUUGUGUGUUCCCAGGGGACACAAAUAAUGGCAGUCAGACUGCCGGGAAACUCUUCAAUCUGCCCUGAAUUGUCAGUCUGCCGGGAAAAUGUUGUAUGCCGGGAAUAGUUCUAACUGCCGGCAAAGGUGCGGACAUUAAGGGCAGAGAAUAUGCCGGGGUUUGUACUAACUGCCGGGAAUUCUUUUUCCCGACGGGACUUUCAAGGGCAGUUUGUAGAUGCCGGCAAAACUCAUUCCCGGCAGAUAGUCUGCCUCCGGUAGCUAGUUUUCCCGGCAGAUCUGGUGACCCUUAAAUUUUGGUCAUGGUGCAGUGCGCACGCUUAAGGUUUCGAUAACAUUUAUAUUGUGAGUUUAUGAGUUUUGAUGUACCGAAAGAGUUCGGAGUCCCGGAUGAGGUCGGGGACAUGACGAGGAGUCUCGAAAUGGUCGAGACGUAAAGAUCGAUAUAUUGGACGACUAUAUUCGGAGUUCGGAAAGGUUCCGAGUGAUUCGGGUAUUUUUCGGAGUACCGGAGAGUUACGGGAAUUCGCCGGGGAGUAUAUGGGCCUUAUUGGGCCAUACAGGAAUUGAGGAGAGAGGCCGAAAGGAAGGAGGCGCGCAGCCCCCCUCUGGUCCGAAUUGGACAAGGGGUGCAGCCCCUCUUUCCUUCCUCCUCUCCCCCUCUUUCCCCCUUCUCCUACUCCAACAAGGAAGGAGGGAGUCCUACUCCUGGUGGGAGUAGGACUCCCCUUGGCGCGCCUCCUCCUGGCCGGCCGAACCCCUCCCCCUUGCUCAUUUAUAUACGGGGGCAGGGGGGCACCUCAAGGCACGAAACACAAGUUGAUCUACGGAUCGUUCCUUAGCCGUGUGCGGUGCCCCCCUCCACCAUAUUCCACCUCGGUCAUAUCGUCGUGGAGUUUAGGCGAAGCCCUGCGCCGGUAGAGCAUCAUCAUCGUCACCACGCCGUCGUGCUGACGGAACUCAUCCCCGAAGCUUUGCUGGAUCGGAGCCCAGGGAUCGUUAUCGAGCUGAACGUGUGCUGAACUCGGAGGUGCCGUACGUUCGGUACUUGGAUCGGUCGGAUCGUGAAGACGUACGACUACAUCAACCGCGUUGUCAUAACGCUUCCGCUUACGGUCUACGAGGGUACGUGGACAACACUCUCCCCUCUCGUUGCUAUGCCAUCACCAUGAUCUUGCGUGUACGUAGGAAAUUUUUUGAAAUUACUACGUUCCCCAACAAUGACCCCCUUUGUUGUUAUCUCAUCCACCGGGAAUUGUAAUUGUUGCAUCAAUAUUGUCCCCUCUUGUAAAACAAGGCCACACAAUACAAUUUAUGUAGCAGCAGUAACAUGAGAUGAUGUCAUGUGAUAGACUUGUUCGUGUCGUACACAUUUUCCUUGUACAUUUUAUCUCGUUGGUGUUGAUUUUGUUCAAGUAGACUCCAUUUGCAUUUAAGGAUACUAUUGGUUUUCAAUCUAUUAUUUUAGUGUAUUUGAUGCAUGAUUUUCACAUAUUAACUCGUAUUUUAGCAAAGCGAUAGUACAUAACUUUAUAAGUGUCAUUCUUUCACCAUAACAGUUAAGGAUACCAUGACUUCAAAGAACAGUCUUUUUAGUGAACCGCAAAAGGAGAGUUGAGAAUAUUAUCGAUGUUAGCACAACAUGAAAAAUCCUAUUUCCCGUUCGUUUUGGGACAUACUUAGUUUUUUAGGUGUGGGACAUACUAACUACUUAGGUUUUUUUGAGCGAAACUUACUACUUAGUCUUUUUUUAGCGACACUUACUACUUAGUUUUUUUUUAGGAAUCCCGACGCUUUAUUACUCAAACUUCACAAUGUUUGGGAUACUUAGUAAAUCAUACAAAACACACACUCAUUGCAGUGUUGUUUAGGUAAUGGGCCGGCCCAUGUAUGCACACCUCUCGGCCCUUGUGGUGUUGUUUCCCGGUUUGGGGAAGGUUCCACCCGGUUUUGAGAAGGUUUUGACCAUUUUCUUCUUCUUUUCAUUUAUGUGUUUUCUCUCCCAGGUUAUUGAUUCGUAAAAAAAGGUUAUUAGGUUUCUUUUCAGUUUUAUUAUUUUUUCUUGUUCGGUUUACUUUUUCCUUCUUUCGUUUUUGUAUUUCCAUCUUCAAUAUUUUCUUUCUCCUUUUAUAUGUUUUUAAUGUAUGAACAUUUUAUAAAGUUUCUGAACAUAUUUGAAAUUAGUAAACAUAUUUCAAAUUUGUGAAUGUUUUUUUAAACUCAUGAACAUUUCUAAAAUUCAUGAACAUUUUUAAAAUUGUGACCAUUUUCAAAGCCAUGUUUUAGAAAAAUGCCAAUAUGUUUUAUUUCAAGAACAUUUCCAAAAUGCGUGAAGAUUUUUGAAAUUGUGAAUAUGUUUUAUAAUUCAUGAACAAUUUUUAAAAUCCAUGAACAUUUUUAAAAUCGUGUUUUUUCACAACUUUUUCAAAACUAGCAAAAAACAGGUAGCCGUUUUUUUCCAGAUGAGCCAGCAGCAAAGAAGCGAGCGAGUGGGAGCUUUGUGAGUCAUGGGCCAAUGCGCAUUUUGGCGGCAAUUCGCCACAAGGCGCUCCUGUUGCAACACAAUCAGAUUCACUAAUUGGGCCACGCCAUGAAAUCCUAAAUGAUAUUGAGCUGAGAAAUGAGAAGGACCACUGAACCGGAUUAGCAUUGAAUGUGUAUAACCAAUUCCACUGCCAGCCUAGAAAAAACCAAUUCCACUGCCAGCCUAGAAAAAACCAAUUCCACUGUCAGCAAGACAGAUUUAGGACAUGAUGUUGCGUUCUAGUUAAAGAGAUGGCCUAGUCAGAGCAUCUAUUGUCGGACUUAACAAAUCUUACCCAUAAACGCCCGCGAACACACCCAGUCAGUCACUGGACGUGUCUGUCUUGAGCAUCUAUUUAUUCGUUCAUACAUCCACACUUCUUAUUUUCUCUCUCAUAUGUCCGGUCACUUGCAUGUGAUUGGUGAAGAAAAGAGAAAGAAAGAAAAUAAAGAAUAAACAAAAAGAAAAAGGUGGUCCGGGUGGGCCACGUCCUCCGUGGCGGACUGACGAAGCGCGCCCGCGAGCCCUUAUAUCCUCUCUACAUUUAUGCUAAAUAUUGAGAGUUUACGGAUAGCCCGGACGUAUAGAAAUGAUAUGAGGGUUUUGAUUCCACUCUCUUGUCCGGUCACUAACUAGGCGCUUCCGCGGACGUUCGAGGAGAAUUAAAAAUAUCCGGUUGUAGAUGCUCUCACAUGCGCCAUGGGGCGCAACCCGGCCAUCGCAUGCGCCAUGAGCGCAACGCGGUGAUCUAGCAUCGCUUUCAUCCGUUCUGUCCGCGGCUAAUAUGCAAACAACGCUCAAGUUGCAAUCACACACAACAUGAGGGAAAAGGGGAGAGGCAGCCUACCCAAAACGGAAUUAAUUAGUACAUGGGUGGACGAGCACUUACCGUAUAUGGACUAAGCCUCUGGUCCGAAAACCGACCGCGCGGCCAGGUUCGUGAUAUUAAUGCUCGAAUUGGAACCACUCCUGCUCCUCCUCUAUAUAUUCAACUGUCCUCUGAUCGGGAGCAAAGCAGCGGCCAGGCUUACUGCUUAGUGGCAGCCAUGAGGAUGGAGCAUGACUUCCAUAUGGCCGAAGGAGAAGACGAGAACAGCUACGGCAAGAACUCAAGGCUUCAGGUCUCAUACUGUAUAUCUUCUCACGUACUAGUAUCUGCCGCUGCAGUCCUAAUUUGAUUGCUGGAUUCAGCUGCAAUUGUUCAUAGAGAUUUCCCUUUCCGUUUUCCUUAGGAAGAUGCCUUCACUAGUAGACAAACACCUAAUAGUCCCGAUUCGUGAGGGCCUUUAGUCCCGGUUCAUGAACGGGCCGUUACUAAUACCUUCACCCAUUAGUCCCGGUUCAAACAAGAACCGAGACUAAUGUACCUCCACGUGGCUCUGUGCGCCGAGCCUAGUCAGGGGGCCUUUGGUCCCGGUUGGUGGCACCAACCGGAACCAAAAGUUCAUGUUUGUUUUUCGGAAAGUGGCUGCUUUAGGGGUUUUGGGGGUUAUUUUUAGGUUGUUAUAUUAGCUAGCUAAUAGAGAGAAGUGUCCUCUCUUAUAUCUUCGUCCUUGGUUUACCAACGCUACUGCUAUAUAUGUUCAUUUUACCCGUUGAUAUAAUAACUAAUGCAUGCUCGCAUACAUCAGCAUAUAUAAUAACAAGUACUCGUCCUACUAAUCAUGCAUCAUCAUACAACUUCUACUCGUUAUUAAUAAUAAGUCAUACGAUCAUCAUCCUCAUAGUCAUCGAACCCAACCCUACAUAAUUAUUCUUAACACAUGAUCAUCAGUAUCAGGUAGGACCUAAACACCCUUAAGGUAAAAUAGCAUAAAACAAUAUAGACCCCGACUCUCCAUUAUGAAGAAUGGCGAUCAUCCUGUCUCUAAUUUUUGCCCUUCGCUGAAUGUUGCUUCCAAGAAGCUCCUUACGACUGUCCAUACAUUUUUUCCAUUCUUUGAUUGUCAUGUCUCCACUUCUUUUAGAAACCCGGUAUGGACAGUUCAGAUUCGUAGGAAGACCUGGUUGUAUGUUCAAAACAUGAAGGCUACCGUGUGUAUACAUCAGAUGAGGCACACAAUCAUUCGGGAUUAUCUGUUGAAAAACAUAGUAAUAACUUCGUAGUUAGCAAUGAUAUGAUGUACUAGUUUUAGAAGUGUGCAAAAAGAUGCACGGAUGUCGUAAUAGUAAAAAAUCUUACCAGGGUAUCUCCAUGGUAGUUACCAUAGUUCAACACGUGCACUAGUGGCACGUAUUGACCAUAAUGUUGAGGAGUUCGAUUGUAGACAUUGUAAUUCUCAAGAUCAGUAUAAAAUGCGACCAGAUGAUUUUUCUCUUGAUAAGUUAGUUCGGAGCCUUCGGUGUAGUAGGUUCUGUCUACCAUCUUCCGCACAUUCUUUGAAGAAUGAAAAUAAGCUGUCAAUGGAGAAUAAGUUGUCAACUAUUUUAAAAUAAACAAUAUAAAUUACUUAAUAACUAUGUUAAGCUCACAUGGGGGAAGAAUUGGAGGUGUAUCCACAAGGACGAAAAUCGUAGGUCUCUCUUGCUCGAUUGUAGGAUCACCAAGAUCCAUGGUAACAAGCAUACCCUCAUCAAAACCAUACAUCUUGCAAAGUGCUUCCCAAUUUUUGCAACCAAAAUGGUUACACUCUGAGCAUUGUACAGCUUUACUUGAAAAUCCACACCAUGAUGGGUACUUAGGAUAAUUUUUUUGGUUUCGAAACUUUCAUGGUCUUCAAUCCUCUCCAAGACAUAGCGUCUUGCAAAGCAUGGGAUAAACUAGUCGAAUUGGAAAAGAUGAAAAAUAUUGUCAUGAUUAAAAUAGUUGAAGUCAUGAGUAAUUACGAAAAAAACUAUUUCGUCGGUUGCGUACCGUAUGAACAUCGAAGGUCUCCUCGAGCUUAAUGCUGAAGCGACGAUCUUCGUCCAGCUCAAUGAACCUGUCGCAGAUACCUCGGUCGUCGUGGCACCAGUCGCACUCCCCCGGGCGGUUUUCAUCGUCCGAGUAUGACAUUUCCGGCCUAUGUUCAUAAUUCAAAUAUUAAACUAGAUUAUUAAUCACGGGUUGACUAUCGGUGAUGUACGUAGCUCCUCCUUUCAUUCCCAAGUGCAUUAUUACAUCAAAUUGUCUAGCACACGGGAAUGAAGGAAAACUUAUCCAAUAUGAGCAUUCAGUAAGCAAAACUAAAUCAUAAAAUAAGCAAAACCAAAUCAUAAAAUAAAGUAGUAUUCAAAUUAGCAUGCAUUCAAUAAUUAUAAGCAAAAGUACAUCAUCUCUUGGUGUCCGUACAUCAUCGAAUAUUAUCACUAAUAUAGCAUCACUAACACAACUAGAACCGUAGCGCUCGACGGGUAUCGACGCGGGCGGUGGACACCCGAAGAUAAGGAACCAUCACAGGAUCAUAGCUCCAGUGAGAUCCCUGGAGAACCUGCCCUCCAAUGCAACCAUGUAGCGACGGACGUGCUCAUCCUCCUCGCUGACACGGUGACGUACCACCUCCGUAGUAGAACAUGAGCCCCUGGACGAAGGGAUGAAGUGGGAAGCCCAGUCCGCGGAGGAAAUGGGGAAGAAAUACUACCCUCUCAUGGGGGCUGGGGGUGGGGAUGAGCUCUCCCUCGUCGGGGAGCCGGUGCGCGAUGUUGCUGGACAAAUAUCCGGCGUCGCGCAGCUUCUGGAUCUGCCCCUCCGUGACGGAGGAGGCCAUCCACUUGCCUCCCGCUCCGGACAUAGUUGGAGAAGGUUGAGGUGAGAAGUGCGGACUUGGGCGCUGGAGCUUGAGUUCGCGGAGAUGGAUAAGCCAAGGAGGAAGAAGGCGCAGGUAAAAGGGUUGGAUCUUUAUCCCCUUAUAUGGGCGGACAAAAACAUGUGUCCCCACCGGCCUGGUAAAACUCGCUUAUCUCCCAAGCGCCGCAAUCAAUGGCGCGGUUGGGUUACCCACGUCCGUAUUGAUGGGAAUCCCGGAAUAAGGGGAACACGAUCUCUGCUUCGACAGGACGUGCCAAGAAAACCGCUUCGCUAAACGCGCUGAGGUGGUACAAUAAGAACAAUUCAAGUAAAGGCUUGCUAGUGGUGUGAUGUCACGCCACAAAACGCGUCAGCAGAUUGAACUGGUGUAAUAUUAUUCUCCCUACGGUGGUACGUGGUAUUUAUUUUUGCAGAGCCGGACACUAUCCUGGUGUUCACAAUCUUCUAUAAAUUAUUCGGAGGAGGAACCCGCCUUGCAAUGCCGAAGACAAUAUGCGUGCCGAACUCGUCGUCAUUGAAGCCUGGUUCAGGGGCUACUGAGGGAGUCCUGGACUAGGGGGUGUCCGGAUAGCUGAACUAUCAUCAUGGGCCGGACUCCAAGACUAUGAAGAUACAAGAUUGAAGACUUCGUCCCGUGUCCGGAUGGGACUUUCUUUGGCGUGGAAGGCAAGCUUGGCGAUACGGAUAUGUAGAUCUCCUACCAUUGUAACCGACUCUGUGUAACCCUAGCCCUCUCCGGUGUCUAUAUAAACCGGAUGGCUUUAGUCCAUAGGACGAACAACAAUCAUACCAUAGGCUAGCUUCUAGGGUUUAGCCUCCUUGAUCUCGUGGUAGAUCCACUCUUGUAACACACAUCAUCAAUAUUAAUCAAGCAGGACGUAGGGUUUUACCUCCAUCAAGAGGGCCCGAACCUGGGUAAAACAUCGUGUCCCUUGUCUCCUGUUACCAUCCGCCUAGACACACAGUUCGGGACCCCCUACCCGAGAUCCGCCGGUUUUGACACCGACAAGGGGUAUUCGUACCGGUUGGCUCCACCAACCGGUACCAAUGGACCCGUCUAAUUUUUUAUUUUCUGCAAUUGUUUUUUAGUGGAUUCUUUCUGCAGCUGUUUUUUUAGUCCCACCUCGCCCAGCGAGAGGCACUCGCAGCUGUUUAUAAGCCCUGAGUGCAGAGACAAUGAAGAAGAGGCUCAAUGCUGAUAGAGGCAAAGGUGUCCCGUCUUUCGAUGAGAUGAUGGAUAUCGCUUUGGUGGAAGUCGACUUUGACGAUCCGACUAUGAACGUGCGAGGACGUCACGCCUUAGCAAUCGCUAAACCAACUCCGAGAGGUUAUUGACCACGCCGGAGCACGAUCAACCUGACCACGAGGGUCUGUUUCCUGCGAGCAAACGAAGAACAAGCAAGAAACUAAGAUUGCAAUCUGGAUAUUGCGAAUAUAAGAUGAAAGCUUUAUUGAUCAAGGUGGGGUUCUGUGACGCCUUUGUCUGGUCGUUGAACACAAACGAAGUACGCGAAGUUGCAGCUAUGGCGAACUUUAAUCUAAACAAAACCCAAAGUCUAAACGGUGCCCUAAGGGCUGUAUAUAUGGAGGAAGAGAGGGGGAAUUUCGUGGCCCUUGGUGGAGGGGUCCGAAAUCAACCCUAUCUCUUGUUUCCCCACACAUACGGACUCUAAAAAUAGCCUAUAUUUAUGUAUUUUGAAAUUACAUGGGUCUGGCCCAAUAAAAAGGUGACGCAGCACCUAUAAUAGCCUCUGGACGAAAUUUAUGAAGUGACAUCUUGUAUAUUUCAUCCAAGGAUUCAUGCACUCGUUAUGGUGGCUUCAAAGACCUGAAAUCAUCACUUGUAACUCUGUUCUUGUUCCCCUUGCGCAUGCCAUCAUCUCCAUGCUUGUUCUUGCUCCAAUGUUCAUCCUUCUCCAAGCUAGGCCCUUCAUUUGUAAGCAAAACAAAUGCAUCCAAUUUAGGCAGCAUCAUAUUCUCAUGAACAUUAGAAUCAUUACCAAGAAACGAAAGUACCUGGUAAUUUAGUUGGCGUGCGCGAGCUCUAGUAAUUGGUCCACUAUGUAUAGCAGCAGGGGUUGUGGGUGUAACAAUGGUAUUGAUGUCCUCAUCAUCCUCCCCUUCUUGAAAUGAAGUCGUCCUCGACGGAAGCUCAUCUUCCUCACCCAAAUAAGGCUUCAAAUCUGCAAUGUUAAAAGUGGGACUAACCCCAAAAUCUGCAGGCAGCUCAAGUUUAUAUGCAUUAUCAUUUAUUUUCUCUAACACCUUAAAGGGACCAUCAGCCUGUGGCAUGAGCUUUGAUUUGCGCAAAUCAGGAAAUCUAUCCUUACGCAAAUGUAACCAAACAAGAUCUCCAGGUGCAAACACAACAUGUUUUCUACCCUUAUCUCCAGCAAGUUUAUAUUUGGCAUUCAUACGCUCAAUGUUUUCCUUAGUUAAAUCAUGCAUUUUUAAAAUCAAUUCAGCACAUUGUUUAGCAUCAAAAUUAACCUUCUCCGAAGAUGGAAGAGGCAACAAAUCAAUAGGUGCAUGAGGUAGGAAACCUUACACAACUUCAAAACGGCACAUCUUAGUAGUAGAAUGCAAUGAACGAUUAUAAGCAAAUUCAAUAUGAGGCAAGCAUUCCUCCCACAUUUUCUUAUUAAUCUUCAAAACAACCCUAAGCAUAGUAGACAAUGUUCUAUUGACUACUUCAGUUUGGCCAUCAGUUUGGGGGUGACAAGUAGUACUAAAAAGCAGUUUAGUCCCCAACUUAGCCCAUAAACAUCUCCAAAAGUGGCUAGGAAAUUUAGUAUCACGAUCUGAAACAAUAGUAUUUGGCACACCAUGCAAGCGAAUAAUUUCACGAAAGAACAAAUCAGCAACAUUAACAGCAUCAUCGCUUUUAUGACAUGGUAUAAAGUGUGCCAUUUUCGAGAAUCUAUCCACGACAACAAAUAUGCUAUCCCUCCCCUUCUUUGUUCGAGGUAAACCUAAAACAAAGUCCAUAGAUAUAUCCUCCCAAGGAACACUAGGUACAGGCAAAGGCAUAUAUAAACCAUGAGGAUUGAGUCGUGACUUAGCUUUUUGACAUGUAGUGCAGCGAGCAAUAAAACGCUCAACAUCCUGUCUCAUCUUUGGCCAAAAGAAAUGUGUAGCAAGUACGUCCUCCGUCUUCUUCACGCCAAAGUGUCCCAUUAAUCCUCCUCCAUGCGCCUCCUGCAACAACAAAAGACGAACGGAGCUAGCUGGAAUGCAUAGCUUGUUAGCACGAAACACAAAUCCAUCGUUAACGGCAAACUUGUUCCACAUUCUUCCUUCUUUACAAUUCUGCAUUACAUCUUUAAAAUCAGCAUCAUGCACAUAUUGAUCUUUGAUGGUCUCCAAACCAAAUAUUUUGAAGUCAAGUUGUGAAAGCAUAGUAUAGCGACGAGACAAUGCAUCAGCAAUAACAUUUUCUUUUCCCUUCUUGUGUUUAAUGACAUAAGGGAAAGUCUCAAUGAAUUCAACCCAUUUAGCAUGUCUACGAUUCAGUUUAGCUUGACUUUUAGUAUGUUUCAAAGAUUCAUGAUCAGAAUGUAUAACAAAUUCUUUGGGCCAUAAAUAAUGUUGCCAUGUUUCUAAAGUCCGAACAAGAGCAUAUAAUUCUUUAUCAUAAGUAGAAUAAUUCAGACUAGGUCCACUCAAUUUUUCAGAAAAGUAUGCAACAGGUUUGCCAUCUUGUAAUAACACACCUCGUAAUCCAAUUCCACUAGCAUCACAUUCAAGCUCAAAAGUCUUAUUAAAAUCAGGAAGUUGGAGUAAAGGAGCAUGUGUCAACUUAUCUUUCAAUACCGAGAAGGCUUCUUCCUGUGCGGUACCCCAAAGAAAAGGUACAUCUUUCUUUGUAAGCUCAUUGAGAGGUGUAGCAAUGGUGCUGAAAUCUCUCACAAAACGCCUAUAGAAUCCAGCGAGGCCAAGAAAACUCCUCACUUGUGUGACCGUUUUGGGCUGCGGCCAACUCUCAAUAGCUUCAAUCUUGGCUUUAUCAACUUCAAUUCCCUAUGGAGUAACAACAUAGCCAAGAAAAGAUACUCGGUCGGUGCAAAAGGUGCACUUCCCAAGGUUACCAAACAAACGUGCAUCACGUAGAGCAAUAAAAACAGCACGUAAAUGUUCUAAAUGUUCUUCCAAAGAUCUGCUAUAAAUCAGUAUAUCAUCAAAAUAGACUACCACAAAUCGUCCAAUGAAAGCACGUAAAACUUCGUUCAUUAGUCUCAUGAAAGUACUAGGCGCAUUAGUUAACCCAAAAGGCAUGACUAACCACUCAUAUAAUCCAAACUUAGUUUUAAAUGCUGUUUUCCAUUCAUCCCCCAAUUUCAUACGAAUUUGAUGGUAUCCACUACGCAAAUCAACUUUGGAGAAUAUUGUAGAGCCACUCAAUUCAUCAAGCAUAUCAUCUAGCCUAGGAAUAGGAUGACGAUAACGAAUAGUAAUAUUAUUAAUGCCUCUACAAUCAAUACACAUACGUGAUGUACCAUCCUUUUUCGGCACUAGAAUAAUAGGAACAGCACAAGGACUAAGGGAUUCGCGUAUAUAACCUUUGUCGAGAAGCUCUUGUACUUGACGCAUAAUCUCCUUCGUCUCCUCUGGAUUGGUACGGUAUGGCGCACGGUUUGGUAGUGAAGCACCGGGAAUUAAGUCAAUCUGAUGCUCAAUCCCUCGAAUAGGUGGUAAUCCUGGUGGCACGUCUUGUGGAAAGACGUCAGCGAACUCCUGCAAAAUGUUAGUGAUAGCAGGAGGCAAAGAGGAAGGCACGUCCUCGAAUGAAAAUAAUGCCUCUUUGCACACAAAAGCAUAGCAAACAGAUUUGCUGAAAUCUAGCUCAUCAAUAUCAGAUUUGGUGGCAAAUAAACAUGCACUUUUCAAUUUAAUUUCAGAAGCAACACUAGAUGGUUUAUGAUUAGGCUUCAUUUGUUGCUCAAAUUCUUUUGCCACAAUCUGAUUUUCAUUCUUAUUCUUCUCCUGUUUUGCUUUAUUAGCUCUAUUAAUAUCAUCUUUCAAAAUAGAAUCAGGAGUCAUGGGAAGCAAAGUAAUAUUUUUAUCCUUAUGAACAAGAGUAUACUGAUUGUUUCUAUCAUGGUGUACAAUUUUUUUAUCAAAUUGCCAUGGUCUACCAAGUAAUAAGGAACAUGCUUGCAUAGGUACCACAUCACAAUCAACAUAAUCAACAUAUGUAGAGAUACUAAAAUGCACACGAACAGUACGUGUUACCUUAACCUUACCGCUGUUAUUGAACCAUUGGAUGUAGUAAGGAUGUGGAUGUGGUCUUGUGGUGAGAGAAAGCUUCUCCACCAUCUCCAUGCUAGCCAAGUUGUUGCAGCUCCCUCCAUCUAUGAUGACGCGCACAAAACGUUCUUUCACAACUCCCUUGGUAUGGAACAAAUUGUGCCUCUGAUUUUGCUCAGCUUGUGUGACCUGCACACUCAAAACACGUUGAGCAACUAAACAUUCAUACCUGUCAGCGUCUUCAGGAGCCAUGUAUUGCGUCUCAUGAUCAGAAUCAUCUCCACCAUGUUCUUCACGUGUAAUAAGAGCCAAAGUCUCCUCAUCAUAGUCACUAGCGGACUCAUAUCCACCAUCCUCGGUAGCAAUCAUCACACGCGGAGAUUUGCAUUCUCUCGCAUAAUGACCUCCUCCCUUACAACGACGACAAAUAAUAUCACUUGUGUGCCCUGUUGAUGCCAUGGAAGAAGAAGAACUCUGUGCAGGCCCAGCAGGUGCGCUCUUGGCAGAUAAUGGUGGUUGUGCCUGUUUUCUUGUAUCACGACUGGAGGAGGCACCUGAUUGAGGUGCUGGUGCAGUUGAAGUAGAAGAUGCACGCAGUAUCCAUGAUGAAGGUCGGCCUGCAGAAAAGUUAGUUCGCGUCAAUGCUUGUCGAUCCUGCACUUCACGUUCAGCUUUACAAGCAAGAUGGAAUAAACGAGUGAUAUUAGUAUACUCCUUAUAGUCUAGAAUGGUCUGAAUCUCUCUAUUUAAUCCACCCAGAAAACGUGCAAGCAUAGCUUCAUUCUCCUCAACAAUACCACAUCUAAUCAUGCCAGUUUGUAAUUCCUGAUAAUAUUCUUCUACAGAAUUUUUCCCUUGUCUUAAGCGCUGUAAUUUUUGAAGCAAUUCACGUUGAUAAUAUGGUGGAACCCAACGAGUACGCAUAGCAGUUUUCAAAGCAGCCCAAGUAGUUGGAAUAGGAUAUAAUCUACAAUGUUCAGACCACCAUACACAUGCAAAAUUAGUGAAAGCACAAACAGCAGCGGCAACCCGUCUCUCCUCGGGAUAUUGUAAACAUGUAAAUCGUUGUUCAGUUUCUAACUCCCAAGUAAGAUAUAUAUCAGGAACAUAUCUACCCUCGAAAGGUGGAAUAUUCAAUUUCAGUUUAGGAAGAUGGUCAUGAUCUCGCACCUGAGGGAAAGCCCUACCAUUGUGAUUAUUUGCAUGUGGACGACCUGGUGGUUGUGGUGCAGGUGGUUGCACGUAGUUCUGAUUUUGAGCAACCUCAUCCUCGUAAUCUCCCACAUAAUCAUCCUCCUCCGCAUCAGCAGCAGGAGCCACAGAAGUAUCAACAGCAGCACCAACAAUUUGGCCAAACGCAAGAGGAACACGGCUCGCUCGGCGGAGGUCUGUUUCAUGAUGUGGAGGUAGUCGUUGUUGUUGUUGUUGGAGAGGUGCGUUAGGUGCAGCGGGUGGUGGUGGUGGAAGACGCACGAGCAAUUCAUUAAACUUGUUAUCGAGCUUUGUUUCGAACAUCUUCUCCAUGCCAUCUAUCUUCUCCAUGGCCUCCUCAAAUCUGUUUAGCACAUCUUGCACCUGUCCACUCAUCAUUUGCUGAAAUUUAUCAUGCAAAUCCUUAUUCGUCAUGUUCUCCCAGUCAGUCUCGUCGGCUCGUGAUCCUGGCAUGGUUAGCAGCAAUAGAAACACACAAGAAUAUGAUCCUACAGACUACUAACAAGAGGUGGUGGUGGGUGUCACAAAUCCGUCAAGCAAAUCUCAAAUUCUUACCAGUUCUUACCCAGCAGUAGGCGGUGAUCGGCAACCGUUGUAGUCAAAAACUCUCAAAGCUUGGAUAGAGCGAUUACCAGGGAGAGUCAAACGCACGACGUAGAUGUAUGUGGAGCUGGGAAGGCUUAUAAUAUGGUAGCAAAAAGGGUCAGCAAUAAUCAAUUCAGAGAUACAAAGUUGAAUAAACGCUCAACGACGGUACUGUGCUAGUCCUAGGCUAGACUGUGCUAGAGACGCGAGCCUAGAACACCAACAAAAUCACGGCGCGACACGUAAACAAGGGAAAAGCACAGUCUGGAUUUUUUUUCGCUCAUUUUUUUGCGCUGUUUUUUUUUGCAAUGUUUUUUUUUGCGAAAAAUCACUAUAAUGGCGAGUGUCUCAAAACUCUUCCUAGGUCAAACUGACAGGAUGGGCACGAAAUUUUUUCGACCAAAUUUUUUUUUCGACUGCCCGGACCCAAAAACUGGAAACGGGUCAAAAAAAACUUCCUAUAAUGGCACCUGUCUCAAAACACUCAAAAACACCUAAAAAUAGGAUAGCCAGAAUUUUUUUCGAAAAAUGCGUUUUCGAAAAAUUUUGGGCCUAAACGGAGGGUGGUUUCCGGACUCUUUUUUUUUCGAAACCUACUCCGGCAAGGAAACACGAAUCGGAAUCUAGAUGGAUCUCGAAAAUAAACCUAAUAUGACAAGAACUCGGAUUGGUGGUGGAUAUAUGGUGGUAGAUGGCAGCGGUGGUGGUAUAUGACAGCGGUGGUGGUAUAUGGAUACGGAUUCGAAGCGGUGGCGGAUAAGCGGUGGUGGUAGAUCGCAGGGGCGAUGAUGAUGGUGCGGCGACGGCGUGACAACUUAUGACCAGAACUCGAAACUCUAAAAGACUAGACUCUAAGACCAGCAACUAGACACGAUGAUGCAACCGCAAAUUCAACAAAGCAAAACCCUAAAAAGAUUAUGCAAAGGCUCAGAUUGAUUCGGAUAUGAUGAACUAACCCUAAUUUUUUUGUGGCUUUUUCGUGGACUGUAGGUAUGAAGAACAGACUCGAUCUAAACUACGAAAAACUGUAAAAUCUCACUGAGCAACCUAGAAAUCUGAUACCACUUGAUAGAGGCAAAGGUGUCCCGUCUUUCGAUGAGAUGAUGGAUAUCGCUUUGGUGGAAGUCGACUUUGACGAUCCGACUAUGAACGUGCGAGGACGUCGCGCCUUAGCAAUCGCUAAACCAACUCCAAGAGAUUAUUGACCACGCCGGAGCACGAUCAACCUGACCAUGAGGGUCUGUUUCCUGCGAGCAAACGAAGAACAAGCAAGAAACUAAGAUUGCAAUCUGGAUAUUGCGAAUAUAAGAUGAAAGCUUUAUUGAUCAAGGUGGGGUUCUGUGACGCCUUUGUCUGGUCGUUGAACACAAACGAAGUACGCGAAGUUGCAGCUAUGGCGAACUUUAAUCUAAACAAAACCCAAAGUCUAAACGGUGCCCUAAGGGCUGUAUAUAUGGAGGAAGAGAGGGGGAAUUUCGUGGCCCUUGGUGGAGGGGUCCGAAAUCAACCCUAUCUCUUGUUUCCCCACACAUACGGACUCUAAAAAUAGUCUAUACUUAUGUAUUUCGAAAUUACAUGGGCCUGGCCCAAUAAAAAGGUGACGCAGCACCUAUAAUAGCCUCUAGACGAAAUUUAUGAAGUGACAUCUUGUAUAUUUCGUCCAAGGCUUCAUGCACUCGUUAUGGUGGCUUCAAAGACCUGAAAUCAUCACUUGUAACUCUGUUCUUGUUCCCCUUGCGCAUGCCAUCAUCUCCAUGCUUGUAACUUUACUUAAAAAAUGAGCAUAGAUGCUUAUUUUUAAUGACUUAUUACAAUUCAGAAAAAAUAGAAAAAAAAUAAAUAUAGCAGAAAAGAAAAAAAACUAUAUAAAAAACUACUCAAAAAUAAAUAGAAAAACAAUAGUUGUGAUUAACUUAACUAAAAAAUGAGUAUAGAUGCUUAUUUUUAAUGACUUAUUACAACUCAGAAAUAAAAAUAAAAAAAUAAAUAUAGCGGAAAAGAAAAAAAACUAUAUAAAAAACUGCUCAGAAAUGAGUAUAGAUGCGCUUAUAGAGAAAAUUCAACCUAAAUUCAUAAUGAAUUUCUACUAAUUUCAGAGAAAUUCAUAUGAAUUUAGAUUAAAUUUCCUGUAUAAGGGCAUCUAUUUUGAUUUUGAGAGGAGCUCAACAAAGGGAGAGAGGGAGGGGCUUAUAAACCGGUCUGAUUCCCCUUCGGUUGGCGAAGUGGGACUAAACUCUGACCGCAACGAGGGCCAACCCUUUAGUCCCAGUUGGUGGCUUGAACCGGGACUAAAGGGCAGACUUUGGUCCCGGUUCGUCCCACCAACUGGGACCAAUGAUGGUGGGCCAGGAGCGAGGCGCAUUGGUCCCGGUUCGUCCAACCAACCGGGACCAAAAGGUCUAGACGAAUCGGGACCAAUGGCCCACGUGGCCCGGCCGGCCCCCGGGGCUCACGAACCGGGUCCAAUGCCCCCAUUGGUCCCGGUUCUGGGUUGAACCGGGACUAAUGGGCUGACCUGGCCUGGACCAUUGCCCCCUUUUCUACUAGUGCUUGGUUGAGACCAAGCCAGCUCUCCAGGAGGCCGUGACACGAGCGUGCGCGGCCCUCCUCCAUCCAACAAUGACCAUUGUUGACCUGGGCUCCUCUUCAGGCGAGAACACGCUCCUCUUCGUCUCCAAUGUGAUCGAACCGGUCAGCCACCAUCUUCAGAAGCUCGGUGGCCAUACCGCCGAGCUCCAGUUCGUUCUCAACGAUUUACCAAGCAAUGACUUCAACCGCGUCUUCCGAUCGGUUCAACGGUUCAAGAACUCGAUUGGUAUGGGUGGUCACAAGGGAGAGGAGAUACCUGCUUUCUUCAUCGCCGGGUUGCCGAGCUCCUACUACACGAGGCUUCUGCCUCACAACAGUGUUCAUCUCUUUCACUCGUCGUAUUGCCUGCAUUGGCGCUCUCAGGUACAUGCCACCACUCGUCGUGAGCAAUUCCAUGACCAACAACUGAAAAUAUGAUUAAUUAUUUUUUCUAUACCUUGGUUUUUUUUCUUGUUGGCAAUCUUCUCGGAAAGCUCAAACAAAUUGCAUAAGUAAUUGUGGUAUUGCAUUAUGAGUUGUCCCAUGUGCACGUGUGCUAUACAUAAGAAAAGAUCUUGACAUGAGACAUGACAACCGGAAGAAGUGGUGCAUAGAAGCACUAAUGAUGGAUGUUCGUUUACAUAAUUCUUCUCUAAAUUUUAAGGAGUGCCUUAUUAAUAUUAAUCCUUUCGAAUAUAUAUACCGAGAGAAAAGAAAAUGGAAGUCUAUUUUUACGCGUGUGCUUGCUUGCUUGCUUGUGAUAAUGCCAACAGAUAGCUGAUAUGCAAUGCCCAGUCGACAGUCUAGCUUGAAGUGCACCAAUUUUUUAUUCAGGUCUCCCUGAUUUUUGAUUUUUAAGGCCGCCACUUGGAACCUCUGGAUUCCAUCAUAUUCUAAAAAAACCUCUGGAUUUCAUUAAGUUGGUUCACUUUUUUCAUUCUAUCUUCUGUCCGGUCACUAAUCAGGUGCUCUCAGAGGUUAUUUAGCAUGAAGAAUGGAGAGGUCACUUUCAUCCGUUCUGUCCACGGCUAUCAUCCAAACAACGCUCAAGUUGCAAUCACACAAAACAUGAGGGGAAAGGGGAGAGGCAGCCUAUUCUUAAUUAGUACUCCUUUCGUCCGGAAACACUUGUUAAUAAAAUAAAUGUAUCUAGACGUAAUUUAGUCAUAGAUACAUCCAUUUUUACCGAUUUCUCCGACAAGCAUUUUUAGACGGAGGGAGUAGUACGUGGGUGGACGAGCAUUUACCGUAUAUGGAAUAAGCCUCUGGUCAGGAAACGACCGCGCGGCCAGGUUCGUGAGCGUACACGUAUGAACAAUGAAUUGCAACCACUCCUACUCCAUCUCCUCCUCUACAACACCUAGAGGCCAGGCUUGCUGCUUAGUGGCUGGCAGCCAUGAGGAUGGAGCAUGACUUCCAUAUGGCCGAAGGAGAAGACGAGAACAGCUACGCCAAGAACUCAAGGCUUCAGGUUUCAUACUGUAUAUAUCUUCUCACGUGCUCUUUUCAUUUCUUUUUACUCCACGUAUAAAAUUUGGUCAAAGUAAAACUACACAAAGUUUGAUCAAAUUUAUAUAAAAAAGGUGAACAUCUAUAAUACUAAAACUAUAUAGUAUGAAAAUACGUUUCAUGGUGCAUCUGAUAAUAUUGAUUUCAUAUCAUGAAUGAUAAUAUUUCUUUAUAAAGUUAGUCAAAUUUUACAAUGCUCGACUUUUACCGAACUUUAUAUGCAGACUAAAAGAAAUGGAAGGAGUAGUAUCUUCCCUUGCAAUCCUAAUUUGAUUGCUGGAUUCAGCUGCAAUUGUUCAUAAAGAUUUCCCUUUCCGCCGUUUAUCUUAGGAAAAUGCCUUGGCUGAGACCAAGCCAGCUCUCCAGGAGGCCGUGACACGAGCGUACGCGGCUCUCCUCCAUCCAACAAUGACCAUCGUUGACCUGGGCUGCUCUUCAGGCGAGAACACGCUCCUCUUCGUCUCCAAUGUGAUCGAAGCGGUCAGCCACCAUCUUGAGAAGCUCGGUGGCCGUCCCGCCGAGCUCCAGUUCUUUCUCAACGAUUUACCAGGAAAUGACUUCAACCGCGUCUUCCGAUCGGUUCAACGGUUCAAGAACUCGAUUGGUAUGGGUCGUCGCAAGGGAGAGGAGAUACCUGCUUUCUUCAUCGCCGGGUUGCCGAGCUCCUACUACACGAGGCUUCUGCCUCGCAGCAGUGUUCAUCUCUUUCACUCGUCGUAUUGCCUGCAUUGGCGCUCUCGGGUACAUGCCACUACUAACAAACACACUCAUUUGCACAUUUUGCUGCCAGAAAAGAAAAAACUGCUUGCAAUUUUUAUACUUUAAUCAUCCACAUCUCUCUACUUAAUACGCAAAAGUUGGUCAAUUGAUGAAGCCAACUUGACUACUCAAAAUAAUGUCAAUUUACAUAAGAACCUCUAUAAAAAAAUGCUAUAUGUUAUACACAGCUUCCCCAUGGAUUAGAGGGCAAGAAAAGACCAUAUCUCAACAAAGGAAACAUCUACAUUGGGAUGACUACCCCACCAUCGGUGGUAAAAAUGUACCAAGUGCAGUUUGAGAAGGACAUGUUGUUGUUCCUCCGGCUGCGACAUGAAGAACUAGUUGCAGGCGGACAGAUGAUGCUCACAUUUCUAGGGAGGAAACAUGGCGAUGCCUACAGCGGAGGUCUCUGCCGUCUACUCGGGCUACUUUCACAGUCUGUGCAAUCACUUGUUGACGAGGUACGCGAGGAUAUAGUAUAUUUGUGGCAUUUAUAUUUCAAGACUCUAAACUGUUGCUAAAUCAUACUGGUAAUUACAGGGCCUCGUGGAGAAGGAAAAGCUCGACUCCUUUAAUCUACCUUUGUACGGCCCAUCGAUGGAAGAAGUCAAAGCAAUCGUCGAACAAAGCCAGCAGUUUCGCAUGAAUCAUAACAAGCUGUUCGAGACCAACUGGGAUCCUUACGACGAUUCGCAAGGCAAUGAUGUGCGCAACAGUGCCCAAAGUGGCAUAAAUUCCUCCAAGAGCUUGAGGGCAGUGAUGGAGCCCCUAUUUGCAAGCCAUUUCGGCGAAUCCGUCCUCGAUGAGCUCUUCAAAAAAUUUGCAUACUACGUCGAGGUGCACCUGGACAAGGAGAAGACCAAGUACUCCGUCAUUACUCUGUCGUUAACAAGGAUUUGAGGCAUAUGUGAUUGUUUCAUAUUUGCUUGCAAUUUAUGUAUUUACCAGCUCCCUUGAUAAUAAAAUUAUGUUUAUCUACAUGAUGCAUCCACUUGGACACCCAACUCAGGUACUUCCACAACAAAAUCUUUUCUUUCAUUUUUGGAUUCUCGUAUUUCUUUUACCUUAAAGAACAUUGGAGUCACUACGUAAAGAAUGAUGUUGAUGUGGGUUUGCCGGCCGGGGUGUUCAAACAUAUGGAGAUAAACCGUUUAAAGGUUUAUCCUAUAUGCCCGAGCACCCUACCUAACCCCCGAUAUCGAGGAGGAGGAGAGGCAGAUGCUCUAUAUGAUGGUACACUUCUCUUUUAUUUAGUUGGUGAGGUCAUAGAGGUUGGAUUGUGUUGGCGUCUUGGAUAUGGGGGUAUCUAUUGGGGAUCGUUGCAGAAAAUAAAAAAUUUCUACGCAUCACCAAGAUCAAUCUAUGGAGCAACUAGCAACGAGAGAGAGGGGAGUGCAUCUUCAUACCCUUGAAGACCGUGAGACAGAAGCGUUACAAGAACGCAGAUGAGGGAGUCGUACUCGAAGCGAUUCAGAUCGCAGUGGAUUCCGAUCUUAGCGCCGAACAACGGCACCUCCGCGUUCAACACACGUGCAGCCCAGUGACGUCUCCCGCGCCUUGAUCCAGCAAGGAGGAGGGAGAGGUUGAGGAAGAGGGGCUCCAACAGCAGCACGACGGCGUGGUGGUGAUGGAGUGGCAGUACUCCGGCAGGGCUUCGCCAAGCUCUUGCGGAGGAGGAGAGGUAUUGGGGAGGGGAGGGGUUGCGCCUUAGAUGUGGUGCUGCAGCCCUCCCCUCGCCCCUCUAUUUAUAGGAGAAGGGCGAAGGGGGCCGGCCCCCUCUAGAUGAGAUCUAGAGGGGGGGCGGCGGCUAAGGGGAGGGGGCUUGCCCCCCAAGCAAGGGGAGCGCCCCCUUUAGGGUUCCCCCCCCAACCCUAGGCGCAUGGGCCCAAGGGGGGUGGCGCCCAGCCCUCCUAGGGCUGGUUCCCUUCCCUCUGGAGCCCAUGAGGCCCUCCGGGAGAGGUGGCCCCUCCCGGUGGACCCCCGAAACCCCUCCGGUGGCCCCGGUACAAUACCGAUAUGCCCCCGAACAUUUCCGGUGACCGGAUGACAACUUCCCAUAUAUAAAUCUUCACCUCCGGAUCAUUCCAGAACUCCUCGUGACGUCCAGGAUCUCAUCCGGGACUCUGAACAACAUUCGGUAAUCACAUACAAGUCUUCCUAAUAACCCUAGCGUCAUCGAACCUUAAGUGUGUAGACCCUACGGGUUCGGCAAUCACGCAGACAUGACCGAGACAGCUCUCCGGCCAAUAACCAACAGCGGGAUCUGGAUACCCAUGUUGGCUCCCACAUGUUCCACGAUGAUCUCAUCGGAUGAACCACGAUGUCGAGGAUUCGAGUAAUCCCGUAAACAAUUCCCUUUGUCAAUCUGUACGUUACUUGCCCUAGAUUCGAUCGUCGGUAUCCCAAUACCUCGUUCAAUCUCGUUACCGGCAAGUCACUUUACUCGUUACAUAAUGCAUGAUCCCGUGACUAACCAAUUAGUCACAUUGAGCUCAUUAUGAUGAUGCAUUACCGAGUGGGCCCAGAGAUACCUCUCCGUCAUACGGAGUGACAAAUCCCAGCCUCGAUUCAUGCCAACCCAACAGACACUUUCGGAGAUACCUGUAGUGCACCUUUAUAGUCACCCAGUUAUGUUGUGACGUUUGGUACACCCAAAGCACUCCUACGGUAUCCGGGAGUUACACAAUCUCAUGGUCUAAGGAACUGAUACUUUACAUUAGAAAAGCUUUAGCAAACGAACUACACGAUCUUGUGCUAUGCUCAGGAUUGGGUCUUGUCCAUCACAUCAUUCUCCUAAUGAUGUGAUCCCGUUAUCAAUGACAUCCAAUGUCCAUAGUCAGAAAACCAUGACCAUCUGUUGAUCAACGAGCUAGUCAACUAGAGGCUCACUAGGGACAUGUUGUGGUCUAUGUAUUCACACAUGUAUCAUGGUUCCCGAUUAAUACAAUUAUAGCAUGAAUAAUACACAAUUAUCAUGAACAAAGAAAUAUAAUAAUAAUCAUUUUAUUAUUGCAUCUAGGGCAUAUUUCCAAUAGUAUCCAGACUUUCCUGCCUUCGGCUUGUGGCGCGGCUCAUCAGUGGCCCAGUUCGGCUCGUCUACAUCAACCCAGGUUCAAGACCCUCGCGAGGGGCCAAGCCUCGCGGGGCGGAUGGCGCAAGGCCUCCCAGGAGCGGCCUCACCAGACAGGCUCGCGAGGAGGCGGAGAGAUCAAGGAGAGGAUUACCUUGCGAGGUGCACAUAAUGCAAGCCAUGACGAUCGAGACUAGGCGGGCACCGGCCAGCGCAGCGUCCUUAUUUCCCUUUGGUGCUAAGGGGGCAAGCGCAGGCGCGGAGUACCAAGGCAUCAGGCAAAGGUUUCCCUAUCGGUGCAACAAGACCAGGACCAGGAGGACGGCAAGACGGAGGUCACCGUGGAUCCCAAGACGGCGUCAUCGCCAGUGCUUUUGACAGUCAAAGACCACCUUUAGUCAGGAUAGCCUGUACUAGCUGUCCCCCUUCAAAUCCCACCAUUGUGGAAUCCCAUCCCACUCAAUAUUUGGGAAGAGGACCAAGACCUCUAUAAAUAGGACUAGCCACUCCCAAGGCAAGGGGAUCGACCAAUCGAACCCUGACCAGAACCACCCACACCAGCACAAUAACUCCUCCCCUCGUGAGGCAGUUCUUCCCCCUGUACCGUUCCUCAUCAGGCCAAGAGGCAAUCCACACACCACACACUGAAGUAGGGUAUUACACCACAAUGGUGGCCUGAACCAGUAUAAAUCUUGCGUCCCUUUUGUUGUUCAUCUUGCUAGCUUAGAUCCACGGCGUGGCGAGGGAGUAGAUCGGUAGGAGAAAGAUCUCCGCGCGCACCCCAGAGUUCGAACCUUAAGGGUUUUGCCGGAACACGAAAUCUGACAUUUGGUGCACCAGGUAGGGGUGCACCGGAAUCCUCCUUCCCCUGAUCUGCGUUCCACCGCUUCGUCGCAUCCAUGUCAGGUGACCCGAUGACCAACGCCGACCGCUGGGCGACAUGGCCUGGCCAUGUCGUUCCGCCUGCCCAAGGCAACCCCGACCCCGCGCUCCAGGCAGCCCGCGCUCCGCAUAACGCUGCGGGGCACGGGCGACGCGGUCAAACUCCGCUGGCCCUUACUCCACGGCAGAUACGAUCAGCAGCAAGGGCCUCAAGUCAUGCCGCAACCAUGGCACCACACACCCGGCGGGAGCAAGCAAACACGAGGGCCGCGCUCACGGUGGCUCGGGAACUGCUGCGGUGCAGGUUUGGGGGCGUAGAUGUGCUGCUGGAGCGCAUUGCCGAGCUCCUGGAUGCCGCAGCUUUGGGGGCGCAUCCCUUCUGUGUCCAGCUCCCACCCCAAGCCUUGGGUGGAUCGCGCGGCGGGCCCGUCCAUGCUCGCAUGCCCUCAAGCAUGACCCAAGGCUUCGUCAACCCCAGCUCAACCAUCAACUCCGGGCGUCAAGCUACACCAACACCGCCUUCGGUGAGCGAGGGCACGCGCUUCACUGCCUAUAGCCCGGACGGGCUGGUACCCUCUCACCACUAGGACGACGUGCUGGGCCGAGCCACUUGGAGCAUGGCGCGGUACAGUGAAGCCUUCGGGGUAGCGGCCUCGGAGGCUUAUGUGCCCCAUAUGGUGGAUCGGGAGUAUGUGCUAGAAGACGACCACGACUCAUUCCCCGGGCCAGGAUGGGAGGAAGAGGCGCCAGAAGCCUAGCCUAUCCAGGAGCCCCAAGGAAGCCUCACCAACCGCGCCGGCGGCAGCGACUAUCGUGUAUCGCUUAUUACUCAGGAGCAAGCUUAUGCUAACCAUGGGUCGCAGGAAGUUCAGGUCACGAUAGCGGAAGGUUGCCCCAGCUCAGCAGCCUCCCUUCCGCCAGGAGGGGCACACUGGGGGCUGCUGGAGAGGGGCCGGGAGCCAGGCCCCUCCCCAUGAUGUGUGGAGCAAGCUGUUCCUCAGAGGUAGGCCCUCUGUCGGGGAGGCGCCGCAGGUCCUGCACCCGGCAGAGGACCCGUGGUCGUCAGGGGAACCGCUGGCGACCGCUCUACCCCAUUGGCGUCAUCCUUGGUUUCCGGUCACCGUCAAUGGCGGUCGAGUGUGGUGCAAGGCGGGCCCCUCAUCUGGCGAUAUGAAGCAAGGCCGUUACCUGCGAAGAAGGCCCAGUGCCUGUCAAGCUCACCGCCCGUGACACUCUCACGUUAUAAUGAGUUGGGGUUGUACACACCCCGGAGUCUCCGGAGAGCCGCCCUUGGGCCUCGGGGGCUCCCGCCCACGCCCAGUGGCAGCACUUAGCUCCGCGCUGGUGAGAAGACGUCGAAGACUAGACUAGGUGCCGGACGCGGCCUUUGCUUUUUGCUUCUUUCUCUGUUGUCGAGCUUCCCUGCUUUGAAUUUAAGUUGAACUUGAGCUUGAGAUUUGCGUGUGUUCGGGGGGGGGGGGAUGUCUUGUCGCGUUUGUGCGAUUUCUCGUGUUCUGGUUUCUGCCGUACGUGCGAAGUUAGCGUCAGCUGCCUCCCCCUCGCGAGCCCCUCGCGAGCCGGGCUGGGCCAAGCACGCAAGCACUCCGGACCGCGGCUGUCUCUCGCUCUCAGGAGGCUCUCAUCGCAAGACUAACGGAUACCCCUAGAGGGCCCUCAGAAGACUGUGGCCCCCGCAAGCUUGCUCGAGACUUGUCCGGGCUAAAGGUAAACCACGUCAACUAACUCAUCACGGGGUUAGUAGCCCAACACAAGCGCGCGCCCGGUGUUACAUCUACAAGCGUGCAAGUGACGAUCCUUUUACACGAGGGGCUUCCCCUCCCAAAAAUGCUCUCACAACUUUCAGGGUCGCGCCCGAGCUUUUCGUGUGCAGGGAAAGACAACAAGGAUACACAGGGUUAAUCAAACAUAUCGCUCACUGCGUCCUCUAGGUCGCCUCGGGAGGCGUCGCUGGCGCCGCUGCCACCAUCACUAUCAUCAUCAUCGCUGUCGCCAAUGCCAUCUUCACCACCAUUUACCACGUCACCUUCAUCUGCAGCCACGACCACACCAUCAUCAUCAGAGGCAAAGGCCCUAACGAGAGCAUCCAUGUUGUCCUCUACCCACUGCGCCAGGUUGCCUCGGAUGACCAAGGGCACCGGAGCAAUGACGACGUCGAAGUCAAAGUGGGGAUCUUUGUCCUGAAGAUGGCUGAAAACACGGGAGAACGCAUGCCCGAGCAGGACUCAGCUUCUCUCCUUGACAAGUUGGCGAGCUCUGUCGGAACGAUUCUCCAGAUGCGUCACCACAUCAGUGAAGAACCGGAGAUGGCCGGCAUAGUUGGUCACGUGAGGAUGCAGAGCGGCCGCAUCGCAUACAUUGCCCAGGGGUGUGUUGGCCCUAUUCCUGAGCUCCUGGAGCAUGGGGCCGUGUGUGCGCUCCAGCGUCUGCCAUUGGAGAAUCUCUUCUCUGGUCUGCCGCGCAACGGCCUCGGCGUCGUCAACUCACUGUUGGAGGAGGAGCAACUCGGCGCGGGAGGAGGCUAACUCAGUCUGCGCUGAGACUAGGGCGGCUGCGGAGGCCUCCGUGCGCUGCGUCGUCUCAACCAACUUGGACCUGAGGGUGGCAGUCCUGCCUACAGCCUCAGCUUCGAUCAACCCCAGCUUCUGGACGAACUCACGCGCCAGAUCUGCGUGAGCUUCUGCCAUGCGGCGGUCAACCUCUUCCUGGAGCCGAGCCACCCUCGCGCUGACGUCAUCCUCUGCCUGGGUAACCAGGCGCUCCCUCGUCUCCACCGCUCGAGGUCGAGGUUGCGAUCAGCAGACUCCAACAUCAGCCCCUCCUCACGCCUCCGAAGCUCCUCUUCCUCGGCAGGCGUUCCCUUCAGUGAUGCAAGGGCGGCCAGGCGCAACUCCACUUGCUGCUCCAGGGAAGCGCUCCAGGCUUGGAGCUCCCACGCGCGCUUCUCCGCGAUCUUGCACCGCUGGUCUACUUCACGAGCCUUCCCAAUAGCUCGGGAGCAGGCCUCCUACGAGGCUGUGAGAGCCACUUCAGCCUUCACAUUGUCAAGCUCCCGCUGAUGACGCGCGAGGCUGACAGCCACCUUCAGCUUGCGCCACUCCUGAACCAGCCGCAGGCCUUCAGCUUCAAGGCUCGCGUCCAUGUCUGCAAGCUCUCCGCCCAGCUGGCUCAUCGCGUCCAUCGCCUUCCAGAGGAACCCUUGGCGGAUGGCACCACGCUCCCGCACGUGUCUAAGCACAUCAUCAACAUCGUCCCCCACCAUCGGUGAUGGCGGCGGGCUCUGGAGUGGCAUGCCCCCACCCAGCGGGGGGAUGGGGGCUGGCACCCUCGCGAUCGUCGGACGGGCUCCGCAAGGGACCCAGGCCGGCGCAGACCCACCACCAGAAGAAAGGCCCAGGGCCGACCUCAGCCAUUCGGCAUCCACAAUUGGGGAAGGAGCCCUGGGAAGGCUGGUUGAGCCCCGGGUGAGGGCGCGAAGAAAGGAAGGUAGGGGCGCAGAUUCCAGGUGCUCUGCAGGCCGGAUUGCCCCUCCGGACGGACUCGCAUCAGGGGGUGCGUGAAAGCUCGGAAUGCACAAGGCCUGCGGCGCAGGCGAGGCUAGAAGAACUCCCUUGGCAGGCUCCGCAGGUUUGGCAUGAGGGGUCCUAUGGGGUCACAGUCAGGAGAAGAAGCAACGAUGAAAGGACUGCUAGAAUAAGGAACUUACUCAUCUAUGGCGAAGUAUUUCCUGUGCUUCAGCGGUCGGAAGGGGCGCUCACUACCGCUCAAGGACUCCUUCCUCUUGCGGAGGGCGUCGAAGUCCACACAGAACCGACCCAGGCGCGCGGCAUGGGGACCAGCACGCGGUGCAGGUGAGGGAGCGCCCAGGUUUCCAACUUUAGGGGCGCCAAGCUGGGAGGAGCGCUCCGGCACCACUUCUCGAUGACCUAUUGAGGCCGUGGGGGCUCUGGCCUCAGGGGUCGCGGGGCACGUCCCUUCAUCAACAACUGCCUCAGGACGGGCUUCGCAGGCCCCGGGGGAUGGCGNNNNNNNNNNNNNNNNNNNNNNNNNNNNNNNNNNNNNNNNNNNNNNNNNNNNNNNNNNNNNNNNNNNNNNNNNNNNNNNNNNNNNNNNNNNNNNNNNNNNNNNNNNNNNNNNNNNNNNNNNNNNNNNNNNNNNNNNNNNNNNNNNNNNNNNNNNNNNNNNNNNNNNNNNNNNNNNNNNNNNNNNNNNNNNNNNNNNNNNNNNNNNNNNNNNNNNNNNNNNNNNNNNNNNNNNNNNNNNNNNNNNNNNNNNNNNNNNNNNNNNNNNNNNNNNNNNNNNNNNNNNNNNNNNNNNNNNNNNNNNNNNNNNNNNNNNNNNNNNNNUGGUGACCGGGAAAGAGGCCACAACGACGGGAUUCUCGCGAGGCCCCAAGAGAUCAGCCGGGCGCAGCCCCCAUUCGUCCAAGAGAGGCAUCUGCCUCACGAAGUCAGCUCUCCCCGAGCAUAGAUACAGCAGGCUGCCCCCAUGCCGAAUGUCGCCCGGCGCCGGGUCGCCCGCCAAGACCUCCAACAUCUUCUUCAACAUCUCUGGCGCCAGCUCCAUCUCCUGGAGCCUCAUGCGGUUCUGGCGUCCGGUUAGGGUCCACAUAGGCUGGGAGUGACGCUGAAGUGGAGCAAUGCGACGCCGGAGGAACUCUGCCACCACCCGGGGCGCAAUCACGCCAAGAUCCCUCAACCUCCCCAGUCGGAGCCAGACGUAGGCGAGCCGUGGGCUCGCAAGCUCUUCAUGAUCCCAGCCCGGAUUGGGGAUAGCGGGCAAUGUGGGGUGCUCAAGCAGGGGACUAGGCACUCCGACAUCCACAUACAACCACCAUGUCCGGAACCCACUCGUGGAGGGUGGAAGGCUGAAAUCAAUCCCUGAGGCGGCCUUCUUCGCUACGGCCAGGAAGCUCACACACCCCGAGCACUACGAUGGGUCGGUCAGACACAAGGAGAAGAAGUGACGCAAGAGGGCGACGGAAGGAGCAAUACCCACCAUUGCCUCGCAGAAGAAGGCGAAGACAUCAAGAAGGGUAACAGACCGAGGAUCGAGAUGUAUCAUAUGGAUCUGAUAGUGGGAUAGCACUGCAUUGAAAAAGGCGGAGAAAGGAGGGACCAAGCCAGCCCAUAGGGCGUCAACGAAGAACCGAACCUCUGUCACGAUCCUGUCGACAGAAGCGUGGGAUGCAGGCCAAGCCGUCGUCAUUCCGCACUCUUUGAAGCUGGAGGCGAGAGCUGGACGAAGGCGCGGACUCCUUCCCUUUCUCCUUGCUGGUUGGCACCAUGGUAAUGGAGGAGGCAGAACUCGAGUCAGAUUGGAAGCGGAAGCAGAGGCUUGAGGAAGAAGGAAGGCGAAGGAAGCGUUGGGAAGCGGAAACGCCCACGUCCAAUCAAGUCGCCACGCGUCGCCCAAGGCCUCAGGCUGUUGGAGCCCGCGGUGCUCCGCACUUGACCUUUGGCUUUGCCGCUAAGCCAAGUCCGAGCGUGCCUUGGGCCCUGGGGCUACUAUCGGCGUCCUGGAUAUGGGGGUAUCCAGACUUGCCUGCCUUCGGCCUGCGGCGCGGCUCAUCAGUGGCCCAGUUCAGCCCAUCUACAUCAACCCAGGUUCAAGACCCUCGCGAGGGGCCAAGCCUCGCGAGGCGGAUGUGUUGGAAAUAUGCCCUAGAGGCAAUAAUAAAAUGAUUAUUAUUAUAUUUCCUUGUUCAUGAUAAUUGUCUAUUGUUCAUGCUAUAAUUGUAUUAACCGGAAACCGUGAUACAUGUGUGAAUUCAAUACACCACAACAUGUUCCUAGUGAGCCUCUAGUUGACUAGCUCGUUGAUCAACAGAUGGUCAUGGUUUCCUGACUAUGGACAUUGGAUGUCAUUGAUAACGAUAUCACAUCAUUAGGAGAAUGAUGUGAUGGACAAGACCCAAUACUAAGCAUAGCACAAGAUCGUGUAGUUCGUCUGCUAAAGCUUUUCUAAUGUCAAGUAUCAUUUCCUUAGACCAUGAGAUUGUGUAACUCCCGGAUACCGUAAGAGUGCUUUGGGUGUACCAAACGUCACAACGUAACUGGGUGACUAUAAAGGUGCACUACAGGUAUCUCUGAAAGUGUCUGUUGGGUUGGCACGAAUCGAGACUAGGAUUUUUCACUCCGUAUGAUGGAGAGGUAUCUCUGGGCCCACUCGGUAAUGCAUCAUCAUAAUGAGCUCAAUGUGACUAAGUGGUUAGUCACGGGAUCGUGCAUUAUGGAACGAGUAAAGUGACUUGCCGGUAAUGAGAUUGAACGAGGUAUUGGGAUACCGACGAUCGAAUCUUGGGCAAGUAACGUACCGAUUGACAGAGGGAAUUGUAUACGGGAUUACUUGAAUCCUCGACAUCGUGGUUCAUCCGAUGAGAUCAUCAUGGAACAUGUGGGAGCCAACAUGGGUAUCCAGAUCCCGCUGUUGGUUAUUGGCCGGAGAGCUGUCUCGGUCAUGUCUGCGUGAUUCCCGAACCUGUAGGGUCUACACACUUAAGGUUUGAUGACGCUAGGGUUAUUAGAAAGAUUUGUAUGUGAUUACCGAAUGUUGUUUGGAGUCCCGGACGACAUCCCGAAUGUCACGAGGAGUUCCGGAAUGGUCCGGAGGUGAAGAUUUAUAUAUGGGAAGUUGUUAUACGGUCACCGGAAAUAUUCGGGGGGCUUACCGGUAGGGGUUCCGUGGGUCCACCGGGAGGGGCCACCUGUCCCGGAGGGCCUCAUGGGCUAUAGAGGGAAGGGAACCAGCCCCAAGAGGGCUGGGCGCCACCCCCCCUAGGGCCCAUGCGCCUAGGGUUGGGGGGGGGGAACCCGAAAGGGGGGCGCCUCCCAUUGCUUGGGGGGCAAGCCCCCUCCCCCCUUGGCCGUCGCCCCCCUCUAGAUUCCUCUAGAUUCCAUCUAGAGGGGUCGGCCCGCUUCCCCCUUCUCCUAUAAAUAGAGGGGCGAGGAGAGGGCUGCAACACCACAUCCAAGGCACAGCCCCUCCCCUCCCCAUCACCUCUCCUCCUUCGCAAGACCUUGGCAAAGCCCUGCCGGAGAACUACCACUCCAUCACCACCACGCUGUCAUGCUGCUGUUGGAGCCUUCUUCCUCAACCUCUCCCUCCUCCUUGCUGGAUCAAGGCGCGGGAGACGUCACCGGGCUACACGUGUGUUGAACGCGGAGGUGUCAUUGUUCGGCGCUAAGACCGGAAUCCACCGCGAUCUGAAUCGCUUCGAGUACGACUCCUUCAUCCAUGUUCUUGCAACGCUUCCGUCUCGCGAUCUUCAAGGGUAUGAAGAUGCACUCCCCUCUCUCUCGUUGUUAAUUACUCCAUAGAUUGAUCUUGGUGAUGUGUAGAAUUUUUUUAAUUUAUGCAACGAUCCCCAGUAGUGGCAUCAUGAGCUAGGUCUAUGCGUAGUUUCUAUGCACGAGUAGAACACAAGUUUGUUGUGGGCGUCGAUUUUGUCAAUUUACUUGCCACUACUAGUCCUAUCUUGUUUCUGCGGCAUCGUGGGAUGAAGUGGCCUGGACCGACCUUACACGUACGCUUACGUGAGACAGGUUCCACCGACCGACAUGCACUAGUUGCAUAAGGUGGCUAGCGAGUGUCUGUUUCUCCCACUUUAGUCGGAUCGGAUUCGAUGAAAAGGGUCCUUAUGAAGGGUAAAUAGCAAUUGGCAUAUCAUGUUGUGGUUUUGGCAUAGGUAAGAAACAUUCUUGCUAGAAACCUAUAGCAGCCACAUAAAAACUUGCAACAACAAUUAGAGGACGUCUAACUUGUUUUUGCAGCAUAUGUCGUGUGAUGUGAUAUGGCCAAAAAGGAUGUGAUGAAUGAAAUAUAUGUGAUGUAUGGGAUUGAUCAUGUUCUUGUAAUAGGAAUCACGACUUGCAUGUCGAUGAGUAUGACAAUCGGCAGGAGCCAUAGGAGUUGUCUUUAUUUAUUGUAUGACCUGCGUGUCACUGAAUAUCUCCAUGUAAUUACUUUACUUCAUUGCUAAACUGUUAGCCAUAGUAGUAGAAUUAAUAGUUGGCGAGACAACUUCAUGGAGACACGAUGAUGGAGAUCAUGAUGAUGGAGAUCAUGGUGUCAUGCCGGUGACAAUGAUGAUCAUGGCGCCUCGAAGAUGGAGAUCAAAAGGAGCAAAAUGAUAUUGGCCAUAUCAUGUCACUAUUUGAUUGCAUGUGAUGUUUAUCAUGUUUUUGCAUCUUAUUUGCUUAGAACGACAAUAGUAAAUAAGAUGAUCCCUCAUAAUAAUUUCAAGAAAGUGUUUCCCCUAACUGUGCGUCAUUGCGAAAGUUCGUUGUUUCGAAGCACCACGUGAUGAUCGGGUGUGAUAGAUUCUAACAUUCACAUACAACGGGUGUAAGCCAAAUUUACACAUGCAAAACACUUAGGUUGACUUGACGAGCCUAGCAUGUACAGACAUGGCCUCGGAACACAAGAGACCGAAAGGUCGAACAUGAGUUGUAUAGAAGAUACGAUCAAUAUGAAGAUGUUCACUGAUGAUGACUAGUCCGUCUCACGUGAUGAUCGGAUAUGGCCUAGUUGACUCGGAUCAUGUAUCACUUAGAUGACUAGAGGGAUGUCCAUCUGAGUGGGAAUUCAUUAAAUAAUUUGAUUAGAUGAACUUAAUUAUCAUGAACUUAGUCUAAAACUUUUGCAAAAUGUCUUGUAGAUCAAAUGGCCCAUGCUCAUGUCAACCUCAACUUCAACGCGUUCCUAGAGAAAACCAAGCUGAAAGAUGAUGGUAGCAACUAUACGGACUGGGUCCGAAACUUGAGGAUCAUCCUCAUAGCUGCCAAGAAAGCAUAUGUCCUUGAAGCACCACUAGGUGAAGCACCCGUCCCGGCGAAUCCAGACGUUAUGAACGCCUAGCAGUCGCGUAUUGAUGAUUACUCCCUGGUUCAGUGCGGCAUGCUUACAGCUUAGAACCAGGGCUGCAAAAAUGUUUCAAGCAGCACAGAGCAUAUGAGAUGUUCCAAGAGCUGAAAAUGGUUUUCCAAGCUCAUGCCCGGGUCGAGAGAUAUGAAGUCUCCGACAAUUUCUACAGUUGUAAGAUGGAGGAGAAUAGUUCUGUCAGUGAGCACAUACUCAAAAUGUCUGGGUUGCACACAACCGCUUGUCUCAGCUGGACAUUAACCUCCCGGAUGAGGCGGUCAUUGACAGAAUCCUUCAGUCGCUCCCACCUAGAUACAAGAGCUUUGUGAUGAACUAUAAUAUGUAGGGGAUGGUGAAAACCAUUCCUGAGGUAUUUUCAAUGCUGAAAUCAGCGGAGGUGGAGAUCAAAAAGGAACAUCAAGUGUUGAUGGUCAAUAAAACCACUAGUUUCAAGAAAGGCGAGGAUAAGACGAACUUCAUGAGUAAAUUAGUUUUUUUCCCCUAGCGGCGGCUAGGGUUUCACCUCCUUACGGCGAUUCCCCACCAUAAGUCCACCAUAGCCAGCGUCGUCCUGCCGUGAGAUUGCCUCCAUCUAACUCGCGUAGGGUUCCCUACCCGAGCCUUCCCUUCCCUGCUCCGUUUCCAUGGUGCGCACGUUGGAACCUCCGAGUCGCUACCAUGGCGGCGGCAUCAGAUGCAUUUUCUUCAAUGAACCUCGGGUCCCAAGGGAGAGAUGACGAUCUCGGUGACUUCUUCGAUAAGUUGGACCUCCAUGAGGAGGAGUUUGAUGAUGUUGUAGUUGAAGAGGAAGCUCCAGAGCUGCUGGAGGAGAUUCGAUGGGUAGCCCUAGCUAGGGUUCAGACCAUGAAAAAUUUCAACCAAUCGGCCUUCUACAAAGACAUGCGGGCGGCGUGGAAUUGUUCACAGGUGGUUCGUUUCUGGCCAAUUGGCCCUAAUAUGUUUGUGGUUCAAGUUUAUUGUCUUGGUGAUUGGGAUUGCAUCAUGGGACAAGUACCGUGGCUGUUCUGCAACAUGGCGGUUCUGUUAGUGCCAUAUGAUGGGUUCACAAACUCUGAAGAGGUGCCAAUAGAGUACAUGCCUAUCUGGCUCCAGAUCCAUAAGCUACCGGACGAGUAUUGCAGACAUGAUCUGAUUGUCAAGUUGCUCCGUUCUGCGGGAGAGGUCCUUGAAACCAGGCUAAAUGGUAACUCCAGAGGGGAUUACGUCCGGGUCAGAGUGAAACAUGACAUCAAGAAGCCUCUCACCAAAUUUGUGAGCAUUGUCAAGGGUGAAGCACGUAAGGUUUAUGCAGUAAGAUAUGAAAAGCUGGCAAGAUUCUGUAGUGCAUGUGGUAUCAUUGGCCAUGGGCAUAAGGAGUGUGGUAAUGGUGUGUUUGCUGAGAAGGAUCUCAAGUUUGGUGAUUACCUCUAUGCUGACCCUCCGGCACAAGCUCGCUCGGACUGGGAAGCAAGGAGGGGAGAGAAGAAGACUUACACUGAACCACCGGUUUCUAAGUCUGCUGCGGGCAAGGGAGAAGUCAGGAUGGAUGGAGAGCUGAAGGAUACGGCAUCUAGCCCUAUAAAAACUUCCCUGUCUCGUGAUAUAGAAUUGGAUAGAUCUUCUCGUAAGAGUCUCAACAUGGAUGGUGGCACAGAAACACUUGGGACAACUACACCCUCUGCUGCGCACAGGGAAGUAUUGUUGCUUACAGACGGGAAAGGUGAUGGAGAACCGGAAUCGCCUACUAAUAGUUCCGGAAGCAAAUGUGCAAAACGAGAUGGUGAGACCUCAAACUCAGAGAAAAUUUCGGUGGGCUCCCAGGAGGAGCGCCGCCAGUCCCAAUGAGUCACCUCUUUUGGAACUGUCGGGGGGCGGGGAACCGCCGGACAGUUCAUGAAGUUGGGGCUCUUGUAAAAGCCCAUUCCCCAAGCUUGGUCUUUCUCGCUGAAACGAGACAGACAAGUGUUAAAGUUGAAAGAAUGAAGUGGAAAUUAGGUCUUAAAGGAUUCUGCGGGGUGGAUUGUGAGGGCCGAGGCGGUGGACUAGCAUUGUUUUGGGAUGAAUCCCUCCAGGUGACAGUGAUGUAUUCCUGUAGAAGAUACAUUGAUGGGAGUGUUCUACAUCAAGGAUCCGGGAAAACUUGGAGGUCCACCUUUGUCUAUGGGGAACCACGUGUGGAACAUCGGCAGCGCAUGUGGGAUCACCUAGUCAGAUUAAAAGGGGUCUCAGACCUACCUUGGGUUGUUUGUGGUGAUUUUAAUGAAGCUCUUUGGCAACAUGAACACUUCUUGAGAACCAGUAGAGGAGAGAGCCAGAUGGAGGCGUUUAGAGAUACUCUCUUUGUGUGCGAAUUGAUUGACUUGGGGUUCUUAGGUGCUCCAUAUACAUAUGAUAAUGGCCAGCUUGGACAGGGCAACGUUCGAGUUUGGUUAGAUCGAGCAUGUGCGUCUGAUGAUUGGAGGGAGUUGUUUCCGUUUUUGAGGGUGCAUCACCUGGUUUCCCCUCGGUCGGACCAUUGUCCCAUUAUACUUUGCCUCGAUGAUACUGAAGAUCACCGUCGGAAGGGGUCGCCUAAAUAUGAGAUCAUGUGGGAACGUGACAAAAAACUGCCAAAGAUAAUUUGAAAGGCGUGGGAUCGGUCUCGGCCUGUGGGCGACUUGGGGAACGUAGCUACAUCCCUGAAGUCUGUUAUGGCUGAUCUUCGCAAGUGGAGUAAAGAAAAUUUUGGCCAAGUAGUGAAACAAAUUGAGGAUCUUCGGAAUGAACUGGAAAACUUACAGCUAAACAACUCGGACCGUCUCUUGAUCAAACAAAAGAUGGAAAAGCUGGAUGAGCUACUCUACCAUGAGGAGAUGAUGUGGCUGCAAAGGAGUCGUAUUGUUUGGUUGAAGGAGGGUGACCGCAAUACAAACUAUUUUCACCGGCAGGCAGUUUGGCGUGCUAGGAGGAAUAACAUACGGAGGCUAAUGAAACUUGACGGCUCGUGGUGUAAUUCUCCCUCGGAGAUGGAGCGUAUGGCCGCCUCGUACUUCAAGGAGGUAUAUACGAAAGAUCCCACUGUAACUCCGGAUGCAGUUCUAGAUGUUCUUGAGCCGAGGGUUACGAAUGAGAUGAAUGACCGUCUCCUCGCGCCUUUCUCUGGUGAUGAAAUAUCUGAUGCUUUGUUCCAAAUCGGACCCUUAAAGGCGCCGGGUCCGUAUGGUUUCCCGUCCCGGUUUUAUCAGAGGAACUGGGGUUGUUUGAAAGAGGAAAUCAUAGCUGUUGUUCGACUGUUUUUUGUCACAGGCCAUAUGCUAGAAGGGGUCAACGAUACUUGUAUUGUACUGAUUCCCAAAGUUCAACACCCGGUGACGUUAAAGGAUUUCCGUCUUAUUUCUCUGUGCAGUGUGAUAUACAAGAUAGUCUCUAAAUGUAUGGUGAAUAGGCUCAGACCGUGCCUUUUGGAUCUCAUUUCAGAAAAUCAAAGUGCGUUCAUCACGGGACGCUUAAUCUCAGAUAAUUUGAUGAUUGCUUUUGAGUGUAUCUACCAUAUCCAAACUUCUUCCGAAAAUAAUGAUUUUUGUGCGUAUAAGCUGGACCUUUCGAAGGCUUAUGACCGUGUUGAUUGGGACUACUUGGAGCGUGCUCUUUUGAAGUGGGGCUUCUCCCCACGUUGGGUUGAUCUAGUUAUGGAGUGUGUUAGAUCGGUCAAGUAUUCUGUCAAGUUUAAUGGCCGGCUACUGGAGCAGAUUUCUCCUUCGUGUGGUUUACGGCAAGGUGACCCCAUAUCACCCUUCCUGUUCCUCUUUGUGGCUGACUCCUUGUCUUCCUUAUUACAUGAGGCAGUCCUACAUAGAGGACUUGAGGCUAUCAAAAUCUGUAGGAGAGCCCCUGCUAUAUAACACUUAUUGUUUGCAGACGAUUCCCUUCUGUUCUUCCGUGCUACUACGGAUUCGGCGAUGAUUGUCAAGGAUGUGUUGAGUACUUAUGCUUCAGCUACGGGUCAAAUUAUCAACCCCUCGAAGUGCUCCAUCUUGUUUGCUGACAAUAGUCCAAAUCAAGUUGUGGAGGAAGUGAAACAAAUUCUGAAUUUUACUCAACAGGAGUUUUAACCAAAGUAUUUGGGCCUCCCGGUUCUAGAGGGGCGCAUGCAUAACGGACGUUUUGAAUCUCUGCAGUCUAGAUUGAGUAAGUGCUUGGUGAAUUGGAGUGAACGAUACUCGUCUUUUGCAAGUAAGGAGGUGCUUAUAAAAGCGGUGGCCCAAGCCAUCCCAGUUUAUGUUAUGAGUAGAUUCAAGCUUCCCAUGUCGGUAUGUGACGAUUUGACAAAGAUGAUGAGACAAUACUGGUGGGGGUGGAAAACAGAAAGAAAAAGAUGGCAUGGGUUGCUUGGGAGCGUUUGACUCUCCCUAAAUCUCAAGGAGGCAUUGGUUUUAGGGAUAUGCGAGCUUACAAUCAAGCUCUUUUGGCUAAACAAGCCUGGAGGCUUCUCACCAAUCUAGAAUCGUUAUGUGCCAGACUACUCCGAGCCAAGUAUUACCCUAACGGGAACUUGGUAGAUACAAUUUUUUCGUCGAACUCCUCGGUGGUGUGGAAGGGCAUUGAGCAUGGACUAGAAUUGGUGAAAAAAGGAACACUCUGGCGAGUAGGCAAUGGGGCUAGCAUCAGAACGUGGAGGGACCCGUGGAUCCCUAGGGGCCCCCCAUUUACUCCUAUCUUGCCAAGAGGCAAUUGCCGCCUCAAUAGAGUCCAGGAUUUUCUUGAUCAUCGCGGCAACUGGAAGUUAAACUUGCUACAACAGUUCUUCUGCCAGGCUGAUGUAGAUGCAAUACAGAAGAUCCGCACUUCCCCGCGCCAACAGGAGGACUUUGUAUCGUGGCCUUGGGACAGAUCGGGGCAGUUUACUGUCAAGAGUGCCUACCACUUUGCAAUGACUUCAAUAAGAGAUCAUCUUAGUCCGGGUGCGUCGAGCUCUACCCCUACAAGUGAUCGACCGUUGUGGAAGCUUGUCUGGUCUGCGGAUGCCCCCCCCCCCAAGAUGAGACACUUUGCAUGGCAGGUCAUUUCGGGAUCACUUCCAACAAAUGUUGAGAAGUUUCGUCGACACAUCGGUACAUCCGCUUGCUGCAAUCUCUGUCAAAGGGAGGAGGAGUCCUCAUUUCAUGCGUUACUUGUAUGCCCUAAUGCUGCUAUGCUCUGGGAUUCUAUGCGGCUAGUCUGGCCACUUCCCCCCAGAACAGAUAUCCCAUGUACGGGCUCAGAGUGGCUGCUCCACCUCCUAGCGGAAUCAAACGAGAAAAUGAGGAGCAGAAUCAUUAUGGUGCUAUGGCGUAUAUGGCAUCUGCGGAACGAAUUCACUCAUGGUAAAUCUAUCCCUCCACUCGAGGUUUCCUGCUCGUUCUUGGCAAGUUACUAUAACACCUUCCGACAAAUCUAGCUUAGUGUUGAGGAAGUUAUGAAAGGGAAAGCACCGUUGGUUCAUGAACCUACACAUAGGCCCCCAUCUGCGAUAUAUGCACCUCGCAGACCUUGGCCUCCUCCACAUGUGCACCAGGUGGCAUUGUCAGUAGAUGGCUCUUUUGACCCUACGGACGGGUCAGUGGGCUCGGGAAUGAUUCUUCGAGACAUGACCGGGACUAUUAUCUUCGCAUCCUACCGCAAAUUAUUCCACUGCAAUGAAGCUCUCAAGGCAGAACUGCAAGCUAUGAUGGAAGGGUUGAAGCUGGCGAUAGAGCAUUCUCAAGCCACUAUUGUAAUUCAGUCUGAUUGUGUGGUGGCUCUCAAGAUGCUUGGGGAUGGUUCAUUGGACAGGUCGGCAUAUGGGCACUUGGUGUCGGAGAUCAAAAGGUUCUUGAAUGAUAGGGUAGUUAAUCCUGUCAAAAUUCUUCGUGAACAGAAUAGGGUUGCACAUUGUUUAGCUAAUUUUGGUAGAUGUGGGGAUAACAUAGCCUGUUGGUUGGGUCAUCCACCCCCAUGCAUUAGCAAACUAGUUGCUGAAGAUUGUAACUCUAUCACUCUAGAAUAAAAUACUCUAUGGUUCUUCGCAAAAAAAAGAAGAACUUCAUGAAGGACGGCAAGGGAGUUGCUGCGCCCGAUAAGCCAGUUGCCGGGAAGAAGCCAAAGAACGGACCCAAACCUGAGACUGAGUGCUUUUAUUGCAAGGGAAACGGUCACUGGAAGCGGAACUGCCCCAAGUACUUAGCGGAUAAGAAGGCCGACAACACCAAAGGUAUAUGUGAUAUACAUGUUAUUGAUGUGUACCUUACCAGUACUCGUAGUAGCUCUUGGGUAUUUGAUACUGGUGCGGUUGCUCAUAUUUGUAACUCAAAACAGGAGCUGCGGAAUAAGCGGAGACCGGCGAAGGACGAGGUGAGGAUGCGCGUCAGGAAUGGUUCCAAGGUCGAUAUGAUUGCCGUCGGCACGCUACCUCUAUAUUUACCUACGGGAUUAGUUUUAAACCUCAAUAAUUGUUAUUUAGUGCCAGCUUUGAGCAUGAACAUUGUAUCUGGAUCUCGUUUAAUACGAGAUGGCUACUCAUUUAAAUCCAAGAAUAAUGGUUGUUCUAUUUAUAUGAGAGAUAUGUUUUAUGGUCAUGCCCCACUGGUCAAUGGUUUAUUCUUAAUGGAUCUCGAACGUGAUGUUACACAUAUUCACAGUGUGAAUACCAAAAGAUGUAAGAUUGAUAAUGAUAGUCCCACAUACCUGUGGCACUGCCGCCUUGGUCACAUUGGUGUCAAAUGCAUGAAGAAGCUCCAUGCAGAUGGACUUUUGGAGUCUCCUGAUUACGAAUCAUUUGACACGUGCGAACCAUGCUUCAUGGGCAAAAUGACCAAGACUCCGUUCUCCGGAACAAUGGAGCGAGGAACCAACUUAUUGGAAAUUAUACAUACGGAUGUGUGCGGUCCAAUGAGCGUUGAGGCUCGCGGUGGCUAUCGUUAUGUUCUCACCCUCACUGAUGACUUAAGUAGAUAUGGGCAUGUCUACUUAAUGAAACACAAGUCUGAGACCUUUGAAAAGUUCAAGGAAUUUCAGAAUGAGGUAGAGAAUCAAUGUGACAGAAAAAUAAAGUUCUUACGAUCAGAUCAUGGGGGAGAAUAUUUAAGUCACGAGUUUGGUACGCACUUAAGGAAAUGUUGAAUUUUUUCACAACUCACGCCGCCUGGAACACCUCAGCGUAACGGUGUGUCCGAACAUCGUAAUCGCACUCUAUUGGAUAUGGUGCGGUCUAUGAUGUCUCUUACCAAUUUACCGCUAUUAUUUUGGGGAUACGCUUUAGAGACAGCUACGUUCACUUUAAAUAGGGCACCGUCUAAAUCCGUUGAGAGGACACCGUAUGAAUUAUGGUUUGGAAAGAAACCUAAGCUAUUGUUUCUAAAAGUUUGGGAUGUGAUGCUUAUGUCAAGAAACUUCAACCUGAAAAGCUCGAACCCAAGUCGGAAAAAUGCGUCUUCAUAGGAUACCGUAAGGAAAUCAUUGGGUAUACCUUCUACCUCAGAUCCGAAGGCAAGAUUUUCGUUGCCAAGAACGGGUCCUUUCUGGAGAAAGAGUUUCUCUCGAAAGAAGUAAGUGGGAGGAAAGUGGAACUUGAUGAAGUACUACGAACCGGUAAGUAGCGCAGCUCAGGAAGAUGUUCCUGUCGUGCCUGCACCGACUAGAGAGGAAGUUAAUGAUGACGAUCAAGGUACUUUGGAUCAAGUUGCUACUGAACUUCGUAGGUCCACAAGGACACGUUCCACACCAGAAUGGUAUGGCAACCCUGCCCUGGAAAUCAUGUUGUUAGACAACGGUGAACCUUCGAACUAUGAAGAAGUGAUGGCGGGCCCAGACUCCAACAGCAUGGCUUGAAGCCAUGCAAUCCGAGAUAGGAUCCAUGUAUGAAAACAAAGUAUGGACUUUGACAGACUUGCCCGAUGAUCGGCGAGCGAUAGAGAAUAAAUGGAUCUUUAAGAAGAAGACGGACGCGGAUGGUAAUGUUACCAUCUAUAAAGCUCGACUUGUCGCUAAGGGUUAUCGACAAGUUCAAGGGGUUGACUACGAUGAGACUUUCUCUCCCGUAGCAAAGCUGAAGUCCGUCCGAAUCAUGUUAGCAAUUGCCGCAUACUAUGAUUAUGAGAUAUGGCAAAUGGACGUCAAAACGGCAUUCCUUAACGGCUCCAGCGAUCCAUCUAUGGGCUGGUGCAAGCAUCUCAGAGUUGGAACAUUCGCUUUGAUGAAAUGAUCAAAGUGUUUGGGUUUAUGUAGACUUAUGGAGAAGCCUGCAUUUACAAGAAAGUGAGUGGGAGCUCUGUAGCAUUUCUCAUAUUAUAUGUGGAUGACAUACUUUUGAUGGGAAAUGAUAUAAAACUUUUGGACAUCAUAAAGGCCUACUUGAAUAAGUGUUUUUCAAUGAAGGGCCUAGGAGAAGCUGCUUAUAUAUUAGGCAUCAAGAUCUAUAGAGAUAGAUCGAGACGCCUCAUAGGUCUUUCACAAAGCACAUACCUUGAUAAGAUAUUGAAGAAGUUCAAUAUGGAUCAGUCCAAGAAGGGGUUCUUGCCUGUGUUGCAAGGUGUGAAAUUGAGCUCGGCUCAAUGCCCGACCAUGGCAGAAGAUAGAGAAAAGAUGAGUGUCAUCCCCUAUGCUUUGGCCAUAGGGUCUAUUAUGUAUGCCAUGCUGUGUACCAGACCUGAUGUAAACCUUGCCGUAAGUUUGGUAGCAAGGUACCAAAGUAAUCCCGACAUGGAACACUGGACAUCGGUCAAGAAUAUCCUGAAGUACCUGAAAAUGACUAAGGAUAUGUUUCUCAUUUAUGGAGGUGACGAAGAGCUCAUCGUAAAGGGUUACAUCGAUGCUAGCUUCGACACAGAUCUGGAUGACUCCAAGUCACAAACCGGAUACAUGUAUAUUUUGAAUGGUGGGGCAGUAAGCUGGUGCAGUAGCAAGCAAAGCAUCAUGGCAGGAUCUACAUGUGAAGCGGAGUACAUGGCAGCCUUGGAGGCAGCACAUGAAGCAAUCUGGAUGAAGGAGUUCAUUACCGACCUAGGAGUUAUUCCAAAUGUGUCGGGGCCGAUGACUCUCUUCUGUGACAACACUGGAGCUAUUUCCCUUGCCAAGGAGCCCAGGUUUCACAAGAAGACUAGGCACAUAAAGCGUCGCUUCAACUCCAUUCGUGAAAAUGUUCAAGAUGGAGACAUAGAUAUUUGCAAAGUGAAUACGGAUCUGAAUGUUGCAGAUCCGUUGACUAAACCUCUUCCGCGAGCAAAACAUGAUCAACACCAGAACUAAACCUCUUCCUAGAGGCAAUAAUAAAAUUAUUAUUAUUAUAUUUCCUUGUUCAUGAUAAUUGUCUAUUGUUCAUGCUAUAAUUGUAUUAACCGGAAACCGUGAUACAUGUGUGAAUAUAUAGACCACAACAUGUCCCUAGUGAGCUGCUAGUUGACUAGCUCGUUGAUCAACAGAUGGUCAUGCAUGGUUUCCUAACUAUGGACGUUGGAUGUCAUUGAUAACGAGAUCACAUCAUUAUGAGAAUGAUGUGAUGGACAAGACCCAAUACUAAGCAUAGCACAAGAUCGUGUAGUUCAUCUGCUAAAGCUUUUCUAAUGUCAAGUAUCAUUUCCUUAGACCAUGAGAUUAUGUAACUCCCGGAUACCGUAAGAGUGCUUUGGGUGUACUAAACAUCACAACAUAACUGGGUGACUAUAAAGGUGCACUAUAGGUAUCUCCGAAAGUGUCUGUUGGGUUGGCACGAAUCGAGACUGGAAUUUGUCACUCCGUAUGACGGAGAGGUAUCUCUGGGCCCACUCGGUAAUGCAUCAUCAUAAUGAUCUCAAUGUGACUAAGUGGUUAGUCACGGGAUCGUGCAUUAUGGAAUGAGUAAAAGUGACUUGCCGGUAACGAGAUUGAACGAGGUAUUGGGAUACCGACGAUCGAAUCUCGGGCAAGUAACGUACCGAUUGACAAAGGGAAUUGUAUACAGGAUUACUUGAAUCCUCGACAUCGUGGUUCAUCUGAUGAGAUCAUCAUGGAACAUGUGGGAGCCAACAUGGGUAUCCAGAUCCCGCUGUUGGUUAUUGGCCGGAGAGCUAUCUCGGUCAUGUCUACGUGAUUCCCGAACCCAUAGGGUCUACACACUUAAGGUUCGAUGACGCUAGGGUUAUUAGGAAGAUUUGUAUGUGAUUACCGAAUGUUGUUCGGAGUCCCGGAUGAGAUCCCGGACGUCACGAGUAGUUCCGGAAAGGUUCGGAGGUGAAGAUUUAUAUAUGGGAAGUUGUCAUACGGUCACCGGAAAUAUUCGGGGGGCAUACCGGUAUUGUACUGGGGCCACCGGAGGGGUUCCGGGGGUCCACCGGGAGGGGCCACCUGUCCCGGAGGGCCUCAUGGGCUGUAGAGGGAAGGGAACCAGCCCCAAGAGGGCUGGGCGCCACCCCCUAGGGCCCAUGCGCCUAGGGUUGGGGGGGGGGGGAACCCUAAAGGGGGGCGCCUCCCCUUGCUUGGGGGGCAAACCCCCUCCCCCCUUGGCCGCUACCCCCCUCUAGAUUCCAUCUAGAGGGGCCGGCCCCCCUUCCCCCUUCUCUUAUAAAUAGAGGGGCGAGGGGAGGGUUGCAGCACCACAUCCAAGGCGCAGCCCCUCCCCUCCCCAACACCUCUCCUCCUCCGCAAGAGCUUGGCGAAGCCCUGCCGGAGAACUGCCACUCCAUCACCACCACGCCGUCGUGCUGCCGCUGGAGCCUUCUUCUUCAACCUCUCCCUCCUCCUUGCUGGAUCAAGGCGCGAGAGACAUCACCGGGCUGCACGUGUGUUGAACGCGGAGGUGCCAUUGUUCGACCCUAAGAUCGGAAUCCACCGCGAUCUGAAUCGCUUCGAGUAUGACUCCUUCAUCCGCGUUCUUGCAACACUUCCGUCUGGCGAUCUUCAAGGGUAUGAAGAUGCACUCCCCUCUCUCUCAUUGCUAGUUACUCCAUAGAUUGAUCUUGGUGAUGCGUAGAAUUUUUUUAAUUUAUGCAACGAUCCCCAAAAGGAUGGCGCAAGGCCUCCCCAGGAGCGGCCUCACCAGGCAGGCUCACGAGGAGGCGGAGAGAUCAAGGCGAGGAGUACCUCGCGAGGUGCACAUGACACAAGCCAUGAUGAUCGAGACCAGGCGGGCGCUAGGCGGGCGCCGGCCAGCGCAGUGUCCUUAUUUCCCCUUUGGUGCUAAGGGGGAAAGCGCAGGCGCGGAGUACCAAUGCAUCAGACAAAGGUUUCCCUAUCGGUGCAAUAAGACCAGGACUAGGAGGACGACAAGAGAAGACGGAGGUCACAGUGGAGCCCAAGACGGCUCAUCGCCAGUGCUUUUGACAGUGAAAGACCACCUUUAGUCAGGAUAGCUUGUACUAGUUGUCCCCUUCAAAUCCCGCCAUUGUGGAAUCCCUUCCCGCUCAAUAUUUGGGAAGAGGACCAAGGCCUCUAUAAACAGGACUAGCCACUCCCGAGGCAAGGGGAUCGACCAAUCGAACCCUGACCAAAACCACCCACACCAGCACAAGAACUCCUCCCCUCGCGAGGCGGUUCUUCCCCCUGUACUGUUCCUCAUCAGCCCAAGAGGCAAUCCACACACCACACACCGGAGUAGGGUAUUACACCACAAUGGUGGCCUGAACCAGUAUAAAUCUUGUGUCCCUUGUGCUUUUUAUCUUGCUAGCUUAGAUCCGCGGCGUGGCGAGGGAGUAGAUCGGUAGGAGAAAGAUCUCCGCGCGCACCCCAGAGUUCGAACCUUAAGGGUUUUGCCGGAACUCGAAAUUCGACAGAUUGGAUGAAGCAAGACAUGGGUCCAUGUAUUUGUAACUUCCUAGCAUCUUCGUGUAAAUCUAAGUUCCAUUCUUCAAAAAAAGAAACAAAAACUACACAAAGGCUAAGGUCACAAACCCCACACGGGUUUCGACACAAAAGUCAUGUUUUGAAAUAACAUUGAUCUUUUAGACUUGGCUGACAUAAACAUGUCGGUGAUUGUGUGCGUGAACUUGGGUGGGAUUUGAUGAUUUCCAUGGCUGGCAUACGAGACUUCCUUGAGUACAUCCUUGAGCAUCCAUCGGGUGGUUUCUGUUACACAUGGCAUUGUCUACCGCGGCGUGGAAGGAUUGGAAGAAUCUUUCUUGGAAUACAGAUCACGAAUAUGGACUUGUUAGCUUUUUCGAUUGAUGAAUUUCAAAUCAAAUCUGACCCCAAAAUAGAGCUUACAAUUUCACACAAAGCUUGUUGGCAGUCUAUGUUGGGGAACGCAGUAAUUUCAAAAAAAAUCCUACGAUCACACAAGAUCUAUAUAUCUAGGUGAUGCAUAGCAAAGAGAGGGGAGUGUGUUGUCUACGCACCCUCGUAGACCGAAACCGGAAGCGUUAUGCACGGUUAAUGUAGUCAUACGUCUUCACGACCCGACCGAUCCUAGCACCGAAGGUACGGCACCUCCGCGAUCUGCACACGUUCAGCUCAGUGAUGUCCCACGAACUCUAGAUCCAGCUGAGGUCGAGGGAGAGUUUCGUCAGCUCGAUGGCGUGUUGACGGUGAUGAUGUAGUUACCGGCGCAGGGCUUUGCCUAAGCACUACGACGAUAUGACCGAGGUGGAAAUCUGUGGAGGGGGCACCGCACACGGCUAAACAAUCAACUUGUGUGUCUAUGGGAAGCCUCCCUCCCUCGUAUAUAAAUGAGGAGUGGGGAGGACGGCCGACCCUCCUUGGGCGCGCCCCCAAGAGGGGAUUCCUACUAGGACUCCAAGUCCUAGUAGGUUUCCACCUAAAGGGAGAGAGGAGGAAGGAAGGAGAGGGAGUGGGGGAAGGAAAGGGGGUGCCGCCCCCCUUGCUUGUCCUAUUCAGACUCAAGGGGGAGGGGGCGUGCGGCCUGCCCUGGCCGCUCCUCUCUCUCUCCACUAAGGCCCAUCGAGGCCCAAUAGUUCCCCCGAGGGUUCCGAUAACCCUCCGGCACUCCGGUUUUAUCCGAAACUUCUCCGAAACCAUUCCGAUGUCCAACACAUAGCCAUCCAAUAUAUCAAUAUUUAUGUCUCGACCAUUUCGAGACUCCUCGUCAUGUCCGUGACCACAUCCGGGACUCCAAACAACCUUUGGUACAUUAUAUCACAUAAACUCAUAAUACCAAUCGUCACCGAACGUUAAGCGUGCGGACCCUACGGGUUCGAGAACUAUGUAGACAUGACCGAGACAUGUCUCCGGUCAAUAACCAAUAGCGGAACCUGGAUGCUCAUAUUGGUUCCUACAUAUUCUACGAAGAUCUUUAUUGGUCAAACCGCAUAACAACAUGCGUCGUUCCCUUUGUCAUCGGUAUGUUACUUGCCCGAGAUUCAAUCGUCGGUAUCUCAAUACCUAGUUCAAUCUCGUUACCGGCAAGUCUAUUUACUCGUUUUGUAAUGCAUCAUCCCAUAACUAACUCAUUAGUCACAUUGCUUGCAAGGCUUACAGUGAUGAGUAUUACCGAGAGGGCCCAUAGAUACCUCUCCGAAACACGGAGUGACAAAUCCUAAUCUUGAUCUAUGCCAAUCCAACAAACACCUUCGGAGACACCUGUAGAGCACCUUUAUAAUCACCCAUUUACGUUGUGACGUUUGGUAGCACAAAAAGUGUUCCUCGGUAUUCGGCAGUUGCAUAAUCUCAUAGUCUGAGGAACUUGUAUAAGUCAUGAAGAAAGCAGUAGCAAUAAAACUAACACGAUCAUAAUGCUAAGCUAACGGAUGGGUCAUGUCCAUCACAUCAUUCUUCUAAUGAUGUGAUCCCGUUCAUCAAAUGACAACACAUGCCUAUGGUUAGGAAACAUAAUCAUCUUUGAUUAACGAGCUAAUCAAGUAGAGGCAUACUAGGGACUAUAUGUUUUCCGUAUGUAUUCACACAUGUACUAAGUUUCCGGUUAAUACAAUUCUAACAUAAAUAAUAAACAUUUAUCAUGAAUUAAGGAAAUAAAUAAUAACUUUAUUAUUGCCUCUAGGGCAUAUUUCCUUCAGUAUAUGGGCCUGCCCAAGAUGAGAAUAAAUCUGAUUUUCUACGGGAAUUGGUUAACCUAGCAAAGGAUAAUCCUCACCCCUUACUUAUUUGGUGGAGGCUUUAAUAUCAUGGAGGUGUGUUGGCCAAAUAGUCUAAAAAAUCUAGCUUAUUCUGUCACAAAUGAUCUUCCGUACUGAAUUGAAAGUAAGGUUUCUUAGACUUUGGUCUCUGAACUGAAAGUAAGCCGUAAUCUGCAGGUGGAAAAAGGGAACUGAUUUAAACUGUAAGAUAACUGAACAUUACAGAAUGGCAAAAUGUUGCCAUAAACAGAAGUUGAGUGAAGAUUAGACUUUUUAAUCUUCACUGCUUGUUUAGACUCUCAAGUUGAUAUUUUGCGCACCUUCCUACUCAUCAUACUUGCGGAUCGAUCAAUCUUCAGAAGUUUGGUCUUUGUAAUCUUCAUUGCUUGCCUAUAAGGAAAUUGAACGUGCUUAUAAGUCACACUUUUGCAUUGUUUAUAUUCUGCUUGUGUCUGCCCUGCCAAUUAUCGGCACGCCAAAAUAUAGACAGACUAUUUGGCCAACACACCUUGCCAUGCCAAUAUUGAAAGAGGAAACCCAAAUAAGCAUAGGGAGCCAAAUUACUGGUGUCUACUCAAACACACAGCCAACGCUCCGUCAAUGCCAAUUUUUUGGCUGGCAACUCUAGUCUAGGCUCUAAAGCAAACAAAACCAUAAGUAUGAUGAGCAGGACGGUGAGGUAAAAUACCAACUCCCUUUAAUGGUGUAAAAUCUUCACCCGCAAAAAAAAGGUAAAAUCAAAAUAAUAAUAAUAAUAAUAAUAAAUAAGUCUACAAUAGAAGCGGACUUUUAUAGGGUGAAAAAUAGAAAAACAACAUGGGCGUUGGAUCUCCGACGCAUGGCUUUGGUCAGCCAGAGAACUGGUGGGGACUUUUCAUAUAUAGCUGUUUGUCGGGGUGGUUUUCGCGAAAUGUACAGAGUCCCCUCAAGCUCCGGCGGCCAAGCUGGGUCAUCCAUCCGAUCUAACGGCCCACGGUCGAGCUGAUUCUGUUGCAGUCUUUCCCCGGUUAACCGCUGAGGCGCCGACGAGUCAACAAGCUUCGAGAUGGCGUCGGCGGCGGCGGCGGCGCUGGCGGCGGCGGGGAAGCGAGAGUUAUCCGAGGACGACCUGUACCUCAUCCUCCACAAGUCGGCCCCUCUCCUCGCCCUUCGCGCCGGCUCGCCGCUUCUCCCCGGUCCGCCCUAGCUAGGGUUUUAACGCGCCGCUGAAUCCGUCCGCAGGUACUCGCCGGCGACGAUCCUGACGGCACUGCAGGAGGUGACGCAGCACGCGCAGCGGAGGAGCAUCGACUGGCGGGCGCUGGUGGCCAAGACGGCCACGGGGAUCACCUCCGCCCGCGAGUACCAGAUGCUCUGGCGCUACAUCGCCUACGGGCAUGACUUCGUCGAGAACGUCGAGGACGGCAGCCCCCAGCCACUGGUUUGUACUCUUGGAUGGAUUACUCUUCCAGUUCAAUUUCGACUAACUUCAGUUGCGUCUUCUAGCCAGUAUUGUGGCGUCAGGAACUGUUAGAUCUUAAGAGGCCGAUGUAUAGGAGAAAUUCAGUUUGUUCUACUGUUGCCUUAUCUUUUCCUAACGGUAUUUGUGGUACUUCUGUUGCCCUGAUUGAUUAUGGCAGGGUGAUGAGAGCGACUUGGAGUGUGAGAUUGAACCCUCUCCUAAGCCGAGCAACGAAGCCGCAGCUGAGGCCUCACGGUUCGCCAAGGUACCACAUUUUGUUUUCGUCGAAAGUAUUUCUGUCUGUAUUGUAGCUGAUAUGUUUCAUUUGUUUAUCAGAUGCUCCUUCUCGAUUUAGGAUGCCAAUGGCCUAAUUUCUGUUUCACCCCUUUGCCUUGUUUAUCUGUGUUCAUUAGGAACCCAUAAUCCCGGAUAUAUAAACUUGAACACCAUCAGUGUAUUUAGUAAUUGCAUAUUUUUUUUCUUUUAUUUGAUUCUUUGAUCAAGCACAUCCGGGAUCCGAGUGCGAGGUGUGCACAAAAUUUUGGUUGGCAUCUGCUUAAGGUCAUUGUGUCCUAUUGUACCACAAAUCAGUAUCCAUUGUCGUGCUAUGUAUGCUAUAUGGUUAUUGGCUUGUCCAUAUAGAUCCUUUGUAUGUUCUUAUACAAAGGAGUUGCAAGGUAUGGCCUACUUGGAUUUACUUACUAGUAAUGCUGUUGUGCACUAGGAGUUUCAUGUAGUAAGCGUGUAACUGUGACAUAUUCAGUACUGAAUAAAGUGCAUCUGCCCUCCUGAAAGUAUUGAGGUGGUGUUAAAUUAGUCCUAAAUAUAUGAAAGUGCAGAUUCCAGUCCCUUGUAGUAUUUUAGGUGAGUCUUCACAGGUCCAGAGCAACCCAGCUCGUUGCUGACCGGCACUCAUGGUGCUUUGACCGCAACCAAACAGCCAGAAUGCUGCUAUGGCAGGAGUUUUGCUGCAAAGGGAGCUUAAUGUGCUGAAUUGAGCUGCUCAGGACCCGCGGUGACUCAGUUUUAGGCUGUGUUUGGUUGCAGGAAUUUUUUGAAGAUUACUAGAAAUCACAGGGCAAUCUCGUUAGAUUCCUGCAUUUGGCAUAACCACUUGGAAUGAUAGUUAGAGACUAGAUUACUAUGAUAGGAUUCCAGUUGUUUGGGACCUAUGGAUUCCUUUUGAAACAGGUGGCUAUCUUGUCCUAAAAAAUGCUAGACUUUAGAUAUUAGUUCGAUUCAAACAUAGUGAUCGAAUUGUACUAAUCUUGUGAAGGGCUUUGUGUCCAUCCCAUUUAGGGCCUCAAUCAUACUGUAUAUCCAUGCCUAUGUACUAAUUAAAACUCAUCCAACUAAUGGUCUUGGGACAAUUCAAUCCAUCAUGUCCUGCUAUUUCACAAUGCGACCUUGACAUGGUGUGCAACCAAUUCGUUCUUGCAUUUGCAUCGUUAAAUUAAACAUACAGUUACUUGUUUUGUUGAAAUUGUACUUUCUUAUUAAACACUAGCUCCAGUUUUCGUUGAAGAUUGAUAAUAACCCUUGUACCCUAAUUUGGUCUUUAUUCUGUAUAAGUUAGUAAGAUACAGAUUCUUUCACAGCAUGCCUUUAUUUAUGCUAAAAGCAGCCUCAUCAGCAGUGAAAGAACAGCUUCCUAGCCGAAUAAAACUUUCUAAAGUCAAACCUAGCGGCCUUGCAAUGAUAAGUAGUUCGGUCUAAGAAGUGUUUUGUUAAUAAAAAAUACUAGCCGAAAAAGCAGUUCCAUUUGAAUACUCUGCCGUGAGAAAGAGUUAGAUCUUACUAAUCGACAAUCUGAAAGUCUUUGUCAGAAAGGGACAUAAAGAAAUAAAACAAGUCUUUGAAAUACAUCAGUAUUAAUCUACAUUGUCUCAUUAACAGGUUAUAUUGCACCAAAUGACCAAAACAACUCGAUUUUGUAUCCAUUGGAAAACUUUAAGGGUAAUGUCAUAUUCCCAAUUGUCUCAUUACCAUGGUAAUAUUCCUAGUAAUUCACACAUUCCUUUCAAUCUGGUUUUCUUAGAACCAAAUGCCACCUUAAGGUACUGCAGGGACCGGAAUGUGCACUUCAAUAGAAUUAGGAAUAACUUGACACCCCCUCAAUACUUUUGGGACUGCAGGUGCAGUUCGCUCUUCAGUAUGAGCCUAUGGAAGGCUGAUUGAUGCACAGUGUUGGCUCCACUCAAAAGCUUGAUUGAUGCCUCGUUAUCAAAUGAGACAUGAAGUCUGGUGUUUCACUAGAUAUCAUAGGACAGUGAACAGUUUGGCUGUAUUCGUCAAUGAAGAUCGAGUUCAUAUGAUUCACCCAAGUUUCUUGUUCUAUCGCAGAGAGGGUAAAGGUCCAUUUUAUUUGAUUUACAAGAUGGACUUCCUCUAAUGCCUCACAAGUCACACUCUCAAGUUUCACAAACUCGUAGUUUCUACAGAAAACUGGCUAAUCUACAAUUCUGCAACUGCAACUAUGAGUCAAUCUCUACCUUUAUAUGUAGAAAGACAAAAAUUAAAGCGUCAUAAUGUUUACACCCUCCAGUUAGAAAAGGGUAGCUAUCAUGUUUGCCCCCUCUAGUGACGAAAGAGUGGCAGUAGAUGAUAUGUACAGUCAACCUUGUAAUCUUUGGCAGUGAAUAUCUUUUGGGAUAUUAAAUUAGACAGAUAAAAAUAAUAAUCAUAGAUUUUUUCUCAAAAAAUGCUUUUAGUUAUGAAACUUUUUUGUUCUUAUUGCAAUUGAAAUCAAGUAUACUCACAGUUGUAUUUGGGGACCAUGUCUACACCCAAAAUGUCAUCCUUCUAUCACUGGCAUAUUAGUCUAUAAAAAACAGUUCUUAUGUCAGCUUCCAUUUCACUUACGUAAAAUAGUCAUCAUUUAUGGAAAAGGCAAAUCUCUAGUUUUGUUAGCAACUUCGUAUUGAUUACUAACUAUGUUGAGUGUAAUGCAGUCAUGCCAUGUACUAUUUGCUCUGUUGCAUAUUUGCACUUCAUUUCUUGUUAUCUUAGAUAUGCACAAUGUACUUGAUCCUAUCAUAUAAAUUGCAGAUCUUGAUGUAUGGACCUUCACGCGAGCAAGGUUCUAGUCAUCGUGCUAACUCAGAUGUUCCUCUGCUAAACACUCCAAAUGAAAAGAUACCACGUGUUUCAUCUGACAAACAGCUUGCUCAGAGCCAUCGUCUAACAAAUGGUACAGGUCCAGUUUCCAACUCAAAGCAGGCACCCCAUACAGGGUUAUCUCCUGAUUCUUUUGAUGGGAAUGGACCUCAUAAUAAAAAGACAAAGAAGACUAAAGCAUGGACUAAGGAUGAGGAUGCAGAGUUAAUGGCUGGUGUACAUAAGUGUGGUGAAGGAAAUUGGCUGGACAUUCUGCGUAAAUAUAACUUCGAUAGCACAAGAACUUAUGGUCAAUUGUCUCAGGUAACUCUAUGGUCACCUUGUAAAAUGCAUACUAGCAUCUAUUAUUGUGCUGCAGUUCAUCAUUGUUUACAUCCAUUCGGUUUACCUUAAGUUUUCCCGACUUGUAAUAACUUGGUAACAUGCUUUGCAAAUAUUCUAAGGUAAGUAGGCAAAUACAUGUGCCUCUUGCUGCAGUAGUUAGGUUCCUUUUCUUGUGAUCUGUGCCUAGAUAAAGUUCCAUCUCAACCUUACUUGGUCUGGUUGUUUAGUUCUCAUUCGCAUAUAACUGAUGCAUAGUAUAAUGAUUAGCUUGAUGGGACAUCCAUGUCUCUCGGUGUACAUAUUUGUCUGUAGAGUAAUUAGGUAACGUGUGCUGUUGUUUUCAGAGAUGGGCAGUAAUUUCCAAGCGUCAAGCAACAACCAAGCCUGCUAAAGCUAAACCAGUCACCGGGGGAUAUGAUAUGAAAGCUACUCAAAAGGCAUUCUUUAUGGCUCUUGAUAUGCCUAUGGGGAAGCCUGGUGGAUUGUCUACAUUAAGAUCAGGUAUUUAUAAAAUUCUUAUAAAUUGUCAGUACAGACAGCUCUCAUUUAGAAUAAUGCUUCUUUACCGAAAGUGUCAACAAGUCAAACAUUGUUCUAUAGCUUCGUUGCGUAUCUGAGAUGUAAAUCCAUUCUGGCAUCUUUGGAGUGCCUUGUGCUAGCCUUUUGGUGCUCAUUGAAGCUUUUUCAUGUAGGAGCUUCACAACAAAGCACUCAACAUUCUGCUCCAGUAUUUGGUGCUGCGGCACCUGAGUUAAAAUCUGCAACAUCAUCAUCAUUCUCGUUGCCAGUACCGGUGCCAAGUGCAGCCCCUGGGGUUGUGUCAGCACAAGUGCAGGUUCAACCUCCUCGGGUGCAACAGGCUCCUCCUCAAGCUGCGCCCUCAAAAGUGUCAAAUGCUUCAAUCAAGUCACGAAAUAGCUCUAAGAAGCAAACUGCACAAGCAAAUCCUACAAAUGCUCCUUCAUCUAUACAAGCUGCAGCUAUUGCUGCCGGUGGACGAAUCGCCACAGCAAGCAUCGCCACCAAUUUAUUGAAAGCUGCACAAUCCCCGCAAGCUGUGCACAUAAGAUCUCGAGGAAAAGGGUCUUCAAAAACUUCUACAAGCUCUAAAGCAUCCACCAUGGCUGGCGAGCCUGGAACACAGACUGGCAGUGCUCAACACCCAGAACUUCUAAACUGCAGUGCCCCUACACCAUCUCCUACGGUUUUGAUAACACAGUCAACCGAGCAAGUUAAUGUUGUGCCAGAAGUUGCAGGAGUUAAUCCCCCGGAACAAUCUGCUAGUGCACAUUUGUUGGAACCUGAUAGAACAUUGAGCACCACACCAGUGCCUGGCCCAUGCGACAAUAUGGAGAUUGACGACGACUCAACAUUUUGUGUAGUCACGAUGGAGGACUUGUUUCCUGAAGACGUGAAGCAGCCAGAGACGGUGAGUCAGCCAGAGAUGGUGAGGCAGCCAGAGACAGUGAGGCCGCCAGAGACGGUGAGUCAGCCAGAGAUGGUGAGGCAGUCAGAGACGGUGAGGCAGCCAGAGAUGGUGAAGCAGCCAGAGAUGGUAGAUCCCAAAGCCGAGGAGAUGAUAGAUCCCAAGGAUGCUGACAUGCUGGAGUUCGAUCGCUUUGUUGCCCAAGGAUGCUUGACUACAGAUUAUUCUGAUAAAAGCAAAGGUGUCAAAAUUGCUCCUGGAGCUCAAGGCGCUACUGCCAGCCAGAAGAAGAAGCAGCUACCCACAGUUGGGAAAAGCAUCCCUGUGUUUAGAGCACCAGUAAUCAUGAAGAAGACCAAAGCUCUAGCUUCACAUGGGGCGACGCUUGCAUCAACAGUCACCUCUAGUGGCCUUGUUGGCACAGGCAAUGCUGGUGUGCUGAGUAAAGCAAUAUAUCGGAAGCCAGCUGGUCCAGGCACCACAGGCAAACAAAAUAGGUGCCAAGAAAUAAUGGCCCAGAAGCAGCAUGCUAUAAACUCAAAUAGUAGCGCAAUGGCCAGGAAUGCGGCUCCCGGCACCGGAACACCAGCCAGGAAUGUGGCUGCCGGCGUUGGAGCACCAGCCAGGAAUGCGGCUCCCGCCACCGGAACACCAGCUAAAAGUGCGGCUCCUGCCACUGGACCAUCAGCUAAAAAUGCGGCUCCUGCCAGUGGAACACCAGCCAGGAACACAGCUCCUGCCACUGGAACACCACCAGUCAGGAAUAUGGCUCCUGGCACUGGAACACCACCAGUCAGGAACACGGCUCCCGGCACUGGAACACCACCAGUCAGGAACACGGCUCCUGGCACUGGAACACCACCGGCCAGGAACUUGGCUCCCGGCACAGCAACACCACUAGUCAGGAACACGGCUCCCGGCACUGCAACACCACCGGCCAGGAACUUGCUCACCGGCACAGGAACACCACCGGCCAGGAACUCGCUCACCGGCACAGUUACACCACCGGCCAGGAACUUGCUCACCGGCACAGGAACACCACCAGCCAGGAAUGCGGCUCCUGUCACCGGAGCACCACCAGCCAGGAACUUGCUUACCGUCACCGGAACACCACCAGCCAUUCGCCAACAUAACCCAGCGGUGAAUGGGGCUAGCAAGGGGAAUCUGCCGGCCAGCCAAUAGCCAGGCUAAUGACAUGGUAAAUGCUGUAAUAAUGCUCCUAGGGAUAAUGUGAAUAGGGUGUCACACCCGUAGAGUAGACAUCAUUAUUUUUGUUUUUUUCUCUCCCCCCGUGUAUGCUCCCUUAUUUUCUGAACCAAGUUGCUGAGGAACACAGUAGGUUUGAUUGGUCUUAUCUUUCAUAGUACCACUAGUAGUAGGCAGAACCCAAUUGUUAGGGGCACUGAAUCUCGGUGUGCGAUCGCAAUUGCCUUUUCUUGUAGGAUCUGCGUCGUCGUAUCAGUGUGGCUGUGAGGAUUGACGAUGGCGCGUCAGGUCGUUCCGUUCCAUCUGCAUUGCGGUGCUCCGAAAGUGUGGUUGUUAGAUUUCCUGAAGUGCAUGAGUUGGCUGUUGGAUGAGGUCUUGUUGGUGACAGAAGAUGUGUAUGACUGUAUACAUGGUGGUUGCAGCCUGGACCAUCAGGUACUGAAUCUGUUGACAAUUUGUCACCUUUGAGUGUGCCAUUCAAUUUGGUCUCGUCAUGGCUUGCGUGCCCGUGGACUGCAUGGGCAGCGCGGUGGAACGCGUUGCGCCCCUCGAAGACAUGGACGGCGAUCAGUGAGCCGUCUGCCUCCGGCCUUGUGCACGGGCUAACAAGCCAGGCCAGUAGCUACGGAACAGUUUAGAACAAUCAAGGCUUCAAAAUUCACAACCCAUAAGCAGUAAAAUAACACCACAAACUUCUCAUAUCUCUGGCACUCCAAAAGCCACAAUCCAGAACCGGUAAAACAACGAUACUAUCAUUCCAAGUCUCAUCUCUCUCGCUCUCUUCACGUCUCUUCUUGCCUAACAGAAAUGAGAAAAAAGAAAAGGGCCAACAAGGCCUUAAACACACUCACAACCAACAGCAAGACCUUAAACACACUCACAACCAAGAGAAAAACGAAAGGAACUGAAAUCCACAGCUAAGCAUGCAUAUCAGUGUGUGCAUGAAUAGGCAGAGCAAACUUAAACACCAGUGGCUGGAGCACUUGCAGCAGCAUCGUCGGGCCUGUCGAUGAUCCCGAUGUGGGUGAGCAAGGCCCAGAGAAGCGUGAUCAGCUCGCCGCCCCGGUCGAUGGCCCGCAGGUGCCCUUUGAGGUUGUCCGACGGAGCCAGGUAAAGGAUCAUCUCCGACCAAAACCCAGCCAGCAACUCCCACAACAUCUCCUCGCCUCCGGUCAGGCCCCCAAGUUGCCUUGCUAGCUUCGCGGCAUCCUUGAGCACCUCACGAUUCUGUGUAGCACCCAACAACUCGAUCAAUUGACGGUACCCCGCUUCCGGCGUCAAGGAUGACACCUCAAUGCCGCCGCCGCCGCAACCGGUGAGGGCUCGCUCGGCGUCUUUCUUAACUUUCUUGUAGAGGUGCUUGCUCCAUGUAUUAUCAUUAGGAAGUAGCUCGGGGCAGAAUGCCACUAGAUACGCGCAAUAGCACGACAGGUGAGUGGCGGCGAUCUUCUUCUCAUAGACAACAGAAGAAGGCCGACCAUCUUGUUGGUGGUGUGGGUGCCUCACCUCAAGGAUGGUGGUGGCGAUGUGCCACACAAGUAUGGUGUCAGAUGUACCUUCGUUGUUGUUGCAGGCCCAGAGUAAGUUUCUGCCAACUUGGCUCUGGCGCAGGGACGUUGUGCCUUUGCUUAGGCUAGCUCCAUUUCUUAGGGCGUUGAUGAUGCAAGCCUUCACUUCUGAUGGUACCAUGCCAUUAUUCCUCCUCUUUCGGCCCAGCAAGUGAAGAAGGCAGCCAGGUAAGAGAAGUUGGUGAAGUUGCCUUCGGUGAAGCACCAACAACGAGGUUUGUCUCAUAUUGUCGUUCCAAUGCCUUUGCAACAUGUUGCAUCUGCAUCGCAACAAAAAGCCAACCCAUUUCGGGACGAUAGGAGAGAGCUUCAAGGAGACACGGUGCACACAUCGACAGGUGAGGAUUACUUUGGUCCAGCUAGAGCACAUGUGGGAAGCAAUAUCCCUCGCCUCAGCAACCACCACAAACACAAGGAGUAACAGUAGUGGUACUAGAUCAAAAUACAAACUGCCAAAAUAUUGGCUUCUAUUGGGGCUAUUCAACGUUCCAUGACGACAAGCGUAAACGCACCAAACUGUGUGCAUCCGGUAACGACUCCAAAAAGCACUCCCAUGAGGUAGGACCUCAGGCUUCACCACUAAAGGUUUCCGAGUAGGAGCAGCAUUGUUGUACAUCACAGGGAUGACAUCCAUCCCAGAAAAUAAGCAGUAACUGAUGGUCAAGAGUGAGAUAACCAUGCUAAAUAUAGUCAGCCGGCUACCCGAGUAUGAGACUGGGAGUGGUGAAUCGUAAUAAUCAUGAAGAAAAGAAAGCUCAUUUGCAACCAUCCUAAACGACCUUUCAUGUCCACCAUCCUUUAGCAACACACUUCUGCAAAAUUUGAGGGUCUCGAUAGAGAUCACACCAGUGAGUUUGUACCUUGCAAAUCGACACCUUAGCAACUUAAACAAUGCAAAUGACAGACAUGUAUCUUUCAGUUGCGGUAUUGGCACCAGAAGCAUGUUGUCUAAUUUCCAAACUCUGUCAAUGGUCACCAAGCUGCCUCCGUGAAUUCCCUCCAAGUUGUUUCUGAACAUGUAACCAUGAGGUUGCUUCUCUACUUGUUGUUCGUCCUCACCCAUAACUAUGAGUGGAGGAGGCACAUUUACAACCUCCUCAUUUGUCGGCAUUGGCUCGCCAUUUUGACCACUUCCUUCUCGCAGUUGCUGCAUAUAUCCAAUAACAAGACGAGGAUUGCGCCCCAGUGCAAAGGAUUUCCGGGCCUUUACGAAUGCAUAACAUUUUAAUGCCAUUUUGGCAUGAAUAAGAGCAAAAGGUGUGGAUAUUCUGAGAUAAUUAAGAGGUGUGGUCUCUCCCACGGGAAUAACAUGGGUAUUGACAACUAGGUAAACAAUCCAAAUUCCUUGAAUGAGAAGUUCGAAAGGGGGACGUAUGCUUCGAUCCUCUCUAUCAUCAGUAGCAACUAUAGGGCUUGUAUUGAUAGCAGAAAUCAAAACAAGGCAGGUGGAUACUAUGACCAUGUAUGUGUGAAAGAAGUUUGCGAGGCAGCUGCCAACAAUUGGACUGAGAGGGACUCUAAAAAGACCGCCGGUUGAUCCAGUGGCGGAGAGCACAUAAGAUAUGAUGGGUAGAAAUAAGGUGGUUGCCCCCAGCAAGAGAUAGCGGGUGAAUCCAUAGUGACGAUAACGGUGGCCAUAGGCGCCUAUUCCGACUAUGAGUCCUGCAAGGAUGGCGUUGACGAGCAUCAUUGCCCCCACUCGCCAGAGCUGUCCUGUAACAUACUCGAAUAACUCAUCAUCUAUUCCUUCGGGGCAGUAAUCGAACGUACAUUGCUUCAAUACUGAAGUAUCCUUGCAGCACACUGUUUGUACAUUGGACCAGCUGGUAGAAUUAUCCGCCAUGAGCUGAUGACCAAAUUUAAACAUAAGUUAUAAUUUUUUUUGCGAGUAAACAUCAGUAUAAAUUAUUAGCACGAUAAAAAAAUCUGAUCUUGAAAGCAACUACUGUCACAAAUGCUAUUAAAAAUGACACUCUAACGGCGGAGACAGAUGCGCAAUUAAGUUGGAAAUGAAUAAGAAAACCAUCAAAACUGGAAUCAAAACGGUGUGCGGCUUUCUACUGGUUGAUUAAUACUAUAAGUCAGUCGAGGACUGUACCUUGUUUUCGUAGGGGCGAUCACACGAAGAUGUCAAUACAGGCCGCCUGGUCUUGUUUGAUUAUUCUUCGUCAGUAUCUGCAAGCCAUGGAUCGGAGGACAUGCAUGGAACCAGUACCAGUGUAUAUAGGAGUAGAAACUACAAAGUUCACAAUCACAUUUGUGAUGGCCCCACACGGCCAGCCUUACUAUGCAAUAAGAGAUGUUUAUCUUUUCUUUUUCCCUUUUCCUUUCUUUCUUUGGAAUAUGUUGCUUUCGUUUUCAUCUUUUCCUUCCUUUUGUUACUAUAAUAUGUUACUUUCUCCUUCCUUUGUCACAAAGCACCAUGCAUCUUGUCUUUAAUCGAAUGAUUUGCCGUUAGAUCUUUCACGUGCGUGCAUGAUUACCACAUCGACCAUGCAUGGUCCGGAACAUGUUCCUUGCUUCUGGGAGUCCCCUAGCCAGCUGCACACGGGCCACUGCUUUGCACAGCAGAACAGAUGUGCAGUGUCCUGUGUUCGUUCGGGGAGAAAUGUCGGCGGAAGAUGAUAGACCAUCCCACGGGUCUCCACCUCUCACCGGCAACAUAUUUGGAAUCUGGAUCGGAAGCCACGUAUGUUGGAAUGCCAUGGCCGGUGACAAGUGACCACAGAGCACGUGAGACACCGACGCAGUAUGCAAAGAUGUUACCCCCUCCGUUUGUAUUAAAUCAGCGACAAGUAAAAUGGAACGGAGGGAGUAAUUGUCUACCUGCGAUCCGGCCUUGUUCGUCAUCAGGGACAAAGCUAGAAAAAAAAGUUUUAAUAGGGUCAUGUCUAUGACAGUGGGGUCAUCCUGUAUAAAUGAGUGAUGAUUAGUACUAAAUUAAUGAAGCCCCAUUCCUUACAAGGCAGCUCCGUCCCUGUUCGUCGUGGCACACAGAGUCGAGGUGCCCACAGCAGGUCUCAAUACUGAAUGUUGUUAUAAAAUUUGCUGCAACCAGUGCUUUGCAUACUGCUGCAACUCUGCAAAAGCCCAAGUUUUAGUUAGUUGAGAUCCGGUGUUAUACUCAUGAAAUUUUGUCAAAUGUGUCACACGAACACUAAUCACACAUUAAAAACAUGUGCCUUGAUGUCAUUACCCUCCCAGUACAAUGAUCUCCAUUUCUGCAAGCACGGAAAUAUAUCAAUGCUAGCCAUAGGCCGUACAACGGUGAAAAGGUAACACACACACACACACCUGGGCCUGGGCCAGCACUUCUCCAAGUUCAGUGGAACGCCAAAUAGAAACAGUAUUGCAUUUGCAUUAUUGAGUGUUGACAGCGAGAAGAGCUAGCCGUAACUUCUCGAAGAUAAAAAAAA
rnacentral:lncRNA from 1 species